rnacentral:lncRNA from 1 species
CUAAUCUUCAAUAGAAGUUAAUUAUAUGAGCAAUAUAUAAAGUUUAGCAAUUUCUCAUUAUCCAUUAAAGGAAAAAUGGAGAGAAAACAGAUACCUCAAGCUCUCCCACUUCUUGGGGAAAAUCAAAGACUUGUUCUAAUCUAUUGCACCAAGAUAUUUCAAGUUCUUGUAGAUGCACCAAACUUUGAGCAAGGGGAGUCGAAAAGAGAUAUGCCAGUUGCAUACACCACCGUAUAUUCAAAGUCUUAAGACUUUGGAGGUUAACAAGAUGGAUGGGCCCUUUCCAUAUCCACUUCAAUUCUGAUAAUGACUCUAGCUUCAAAGAAGUUAGAUUAGAGAGUAGCUGUACCUGACAUGAAUUCAUUGAUUGAAAACGCAAAUAAAUAUGGAUAAAACGUUACAUACAAAGGCAAUAAUAGUAGUUAUUGAAUAAUAUAUAAUUUAACAAAGAAUAAAAAAAAGAGAAAAAAUACAAUGAUUUUAUAAAGUGUACUAAUAAAGAGAAAAAAAAAAUAUAUAUAUAUAUAUAUAUAUAAUGUUAGUUUUCUCAACUUGCAAGUCAUGUAAUAAAUAUACAUUUAGAUUAGUUACUAAUAUAAUUUAAUUAAACUUUAUCUCUUCUAAUCUUCAAUAGAAGUUAAUUAUAUGAGCAAUAUAUAAAGUUUAGCAAUUUCUCAUUAUCCAUUAAAGGAAAAAUGGAGAGAAAACAGAUACCUCAAGCUCUCCCACUUCUUGGGGAAAAUCAAAGACUUGUUCUAAUCUAUCGCACCUAGAUAUUUCAAGUUCUUGUAGAUGCACCAAACUUUGAGCAAGGGGAGUCGAAAAGAGAUAUACCAGUUGCUCACACCCCCGUAUAUUCAAAGUCUUAAGACUUUGGAGGUUAACAAGAUGGGUGGGCCCUUUCCAUAUCCACUUUAGUUCUGGUAAUGACUUUAGCUCCAAAGAAGUUAAAUUAGAGAGUGGUCGUACCUGACAUGAAUUCAUUGAUUGAAAAUGCAAAUAAAUAUGGACAAAACAUUAUAUACAAAGGCAAUAACAGUAGUUAUUGAAUAAUAUACAAUUUAAAAAGAAUAAGAAAAAGAGAAAAAAUACAAUGAUUUUAUAAAGUGUACUAACAAAGAGAAAAAAUAUAUAUAUAUAUAAUGUUAGUUUUCUCAACUUGCAAGUCAUGUAAUAAAUAUACAUUUAGAUUAGUUACUAAUAUAAUUUAAUUAAACUUUAUCUCUUCUAAUCUUCAAUAGAAGUUAAUUAUAUGAGCAAUAUAUAAAGUUUAGCAAUUUCUCAUUAUCCAUUAAAGGAAAAAUGGAGAGAAAACAGAUACCUCAAGCUCUCCCACUUCUUGGGGAGGAAAAUCAAAGACUUGUUCUAAUCUAUCGCACUCAGAUAUUUCAAGAUCUUGUAGAUGCAACAAACUUUGAGCAAGGCAAGGCGGGAAGAUGGAUUUCAAUUCACUGCACUUCCGAAUGGUUGCAUUCUUUAGACUUUGGAGGCUUGCAUUUAGAAGCUCUCCCACUUCUUGGGGAAAAUCAAAGACUUGUUCUAAUCUAUCGCACUCAGAUAUUUCAAGUUUUUGUAGAUGCAACAAACUUUGAGAAAGGCAAGGCGGGAAGAUGGAUUUCAAUUCACUGCACUUCCGAAUGGUUGCAUUCUUUAGACUUUGGAGGCCCUCAGGAUGUACGUUUGGGACAAUAUUUUUGUGUCCCAUGACAUUCUCCAGAGCCAACUUUUCCACAUUGCAGAACAACUUGUUGCAUGCACUUAAUGACGUUGAGUCAACAAUUUCCAAGGCUCUACAGUUCGGCCCCCGCAUAAAUGGAACAUAUUCGUUUACAACUAUAAUGUAGCUUUGUAGUUUAGGGAACACAAAGUUUUCUGGAAAACAUUGAGCAGUAGAAACCCUCAGUGACAGCACAGUCAAACAAGACAAUGAAUUCAGCUCCGAUAAGUCAACAUUGUUUUCACAUAUCACGUAUAGUUCUUGGAGUGAUGUCAACCUAUUUGUUACACACAAAUACAAAAAAGUAUUAUCAAACACUUAAAGCGGAUCAUAAAAAUAGAAGUAAACAUAAUUUAAUUUUAAUUACCUCAGCAAAUAUAGCAUGAUUCUUCAGCACCUUUUCUUAUAAAAAAAGGUUUGAGCAUUUUUUUAUUGUUUUGUAAUUCAUGUGACAAUCAUGUUAUAUAAUAGCAUUUUUUUUUAAUGGAAAUGACUACAGCUCUGAAUGCUUCAUGAUAACGGGAGUGACCAAAAGCUUAAGGUAGAUAUUUUUCCCAUAGUCUAAAGUCAAAUUAUUUAAUAAAGUAAAUAAAAAAAAUAACAUAAAACUAAAUACUUAAUUUUGGGCAAUAUGAUUAAAUAAAAUAAUUGACAUCUACUAUUACCUUGAUAGUAAAUUAGGGGGAAAAUUGAUCUGUUCUCUUCCAGAGUAAAAAAAAUGUAGCGAUUUUAGGCCACGCAAUGCCGCUAAUUCUUCAGGUAGCUCAUAAAUAUUAGUACCAGAAAAUGCAAGAAUCUCAAGGUUUUUCAUAUUUCCCAACGAUGAGAUGUUCUCCAACCUGCAUUUUACAAGGCACAGAGUUCGAAGAUUUGUUACCAAUUUAAGUACUUCCAGUGAGAAAAUGACAUUUUCGAGACGCAAAACUCGGAGAGCUUUCAUUCCUUCAACAAAGGCAAUCGGAACUUUCACUAAAGUCUUUCCUGUAAAAAUCAAAAUUUUGAGUUCUGGAAAUUCUAAUUUUUCAGGAAAAAUAUUUAUGUUGCUGUUCCAAAAGGAGAUUGCUGUAUGAGAUCCACAACUUUCACUUGGAGGCCAUUCCAUCAACCCCUCUUUUACCAUGAAUAUAUUUUUCCCUGUAGAUGUUAUCCAAUGAGCAAAAUCACGAACCACGUCAUGCAUGCUUACAUAUCUUUCAUCACCAUCAUCAUCAGUUCUCAAUAACAAACCAGACUUCUGGAGGUUUCUUAGUACUUCACGAAUUUCUCUCCGCAAGUCUUCAAUAAAGAAAAUAUGAGAAAAUAAUCCAUGACCAAUUGCUAACAUAACCAACUCCUCAAUCUUAAUAUUCCAAUCUUCUGGAAAAAGGGAACACAGCAAGAAACAUGUUCGAAUAUUAUCUCCCUUCAAAUAAUCAUAACUCAGCUUAAGGCAGUUGUAGAUGUCUUCAGAAACCUCUUCAUUGUCUAAAUGUCUUGAGUCCUUGAGUCGUUUAUUUGCUGCUUGCCACCCAUCUAGACUUGCACCUUUUAAAGCGUUUCCGAUUGUUACAAUUGCAAGAGGCAAACCCAUGCAUUCACUAGCAACCUCCUUGGCUACAUCUUUCAAUCUCGAAGAAACAUCUUUUAGACCAGCAGUAUCUUCGAGCAAAGUCCAUGCUUCACCUUCGGAUAAGAUGUCAAGUUGAAAUUUCUGUUGACAAUUCAUACGAUCACAGACUUGUUGAAGACGUGUGGUCAGAAGAACUUUGCAACCUUCGUGUUCAACUCCGAAUGGAAUACCUACAGCCCGCAAUUUAAAUUGAUUCCAAACAUCAUCGAUAAUCACGAGGAUCUUCUCCACGCCUUGCAAUCUCCGCCAUAACUCUUCUGCUUUUCCUUCUUCCGUGCUUACUUCAAAUUUCAAACCUAAUAAUUCUGCAAUUUUAUCUUGAAUUUUGUUGAUGUUUGGCGUUUGGGACAUUGUAGCCAUCACAACUUUGUCAAAGAGAUUUUGCUCUUUAGCAUGCCUCCCAACUUCUUUUGCCAAAGUUGUUUUACCCACCCCUGGCAUUCCAUACAAUCCAAUCAUGUUCACACCAUCAGUAUUUAGAGCCUUGAUGAUCUCAUUGAAAGUAAAAUUUGAAGACUCAUUAGGCAUGAAAUCUUUAGAGGGGAAGAAUUCUAUUCCUUCUGGAGGCUUACGGUGGCCCACCCGUGGAAAGUUACAACUCACAAGAAGUUUAUCGAUAGAGAUCGUCUUCUUUGCCACUUUCUUACUUAAGCAAUAUCGCCAACCCCAGCUUGGACACCAAUUGAAACACUUCAUACGUUCUAUUUGAGCUUCCAGACACUGGGUUUCUUCCAGUUCUUUCUCUGCCCGUUUUCGCCAGUGUUGGACAUCCUCCUCAAUUACCUCAUUUUGCCUUAUAGCCUCUUCGACAUCAUUUUUUACCCGAUCACUUUUCAAUUCAAGUUCUUUUCUCCGAUUCUUGAAUUCUUCAACAAUUUUCCCAAAUCGGAAAAAGUAACUAACAUAAGGUGAUGCAUAUUCUGUUGUGAGAUUUCCUACAGCAUUGGCAGCAGCAGAGGCAGCAAAUUCAGCAGCCAUUCUUUGAUGAUCUGAGAUUGAAAAACAACUUUAAUGAUUAGUAAACAUAUAAACUGUCGGAAAAAUCAACACGCACACGCAAAACCUAUACACAAAAUAACAAGCUCAAAUUAAGAAUAAGAACACACAAAUAUAUUUGUUUCAGUCCAACUCAAGAUCAUCUACUCCAAACCUGAUCUACUAACAACUAAAAAAAAGUCUAUAGGUAUUGAUUGUUGAGUAAUUGAUAUGUUAUGAUGUAUGUUUGUAAUUCUCUACAACUAGUAAAUUUUAUUUUUUAUCCAUGAACGUAAAUCAGUUGAACCGAACUACGUUAAAUUAUUGUAUUAAAUUAUUAUCUUUUGUGUAUUUAAUUAAUUAUUUGAUUUCGCUUCUGCUGACGUGAUUAGAUUGAAGCCUUUUGGCCUAACAUAAACAGCUAGAGAGACAAAAGCAAUUGUGAAUGUUUUCAAAGUACCUUAAUUACUUUGAGAGCUAAUUGUGAAGUAGAAGAGAAAAAUUGUUGAUGGAUCAACUUGGAAAUUGAAAAUUAUGCAAAUGGAAGAAAUUAUUCAGUGUUCAUGCGUAUAUUAGGAAUAUAUGUUACAUGUGUUAAGAGUAAAGGCAGUAUAUAUUUUGAUCAUUAAUCUAUCUAAUAUUUUCUCAAUUUUUAAAUAAAUCCAUUUUUUUCAUUUUUUUCCUUAUAAAUGCAGUCUUUUAUUUAAAAUAAGGUAGGGAAACAAACAAGUAAACAACUUUUGAGCAUAUAAAAAAUUAUGGAAAUAAAAAUAAUUAUUCAAGCAUGCCAAAUUGGGGAUGGACCUUCUAAAUUAAGCUGUGAGAAUUUUUUACAUCAUCAACCUUAAUAGAAAUUAAAAGAAAAAGGAAAUAAAGAAUAGUAACAAUAAGAUUAUAAGAACAUUGAAUUAUUUUUUUCUUUUUUUGAAGUUAAACGCAAAUCAGAAUAGAUAUAGCAUGAAAUAAAAUAGAAAAUAGAACUCAAAGAAACCACAAAAUUAUACGGCAAUACUAUUUUUGCUUCUUUUAUUGUAGAGAGAAAAACACAAAAAAAAAAAAAAGAGACAAAUAUACCUAGGACAUAUGAAUUUUCAGGAUUCAAGAUCAAGCUUUUUAUUUCUAUCCACACAGUUUUUAUUUUAUUUUAUUUUAUCUUUUUGAGUUCAAAGAAAACUUAAGUAGAAAGCAACCUUAUUUGAAAUGAACAAAAGAGUUUCAAGUAUUUACAAAUAUUGAGAAGUUGUGCUUGAAAUUUUCGUGACUGAUUGAAACUACAGAGAAAAGUUUGAUCAAAGACUUGUUUAAUUUCUUCGGAUUCUCUUUUAUCACCGUUAUUAUCAUUUUACUUGCUCAAAUCCUUAAUGAAAGACAGCUAGACAAGGGCCCAAGCAUCUUUUCCUUUUGUUGGGAGUCGGGUGCGCAAUGCCUUCAAGUCACACGUUUACUUUUCUUUUUUGUGCUCGGUCAAUUUUUUUUUUUCCUUGAAGAAAACUGAUCUAUUGAUGGUAGUGGUACAUGGCACCAUUGAUGCACUUUUGAAUUAUUGACCCCUUUAUUUUAUCUUUUCACAACUAUUUUUCAACAAUCACUUUCUCACCUACUUUAUUUGUUGGUUUUCAUGGAUUAAAUUCGAUGCGUUGAAAGAUUUAAUGAUUCAAAAUCUUGUUUAUUUCCUCCGUUGAUUUAUCCUAACGUAUGAAAGAAAUAGUUUUUCAUAUCAUCAUUUGCUGAUAUACUGGGAAAUUCCACAGCUUACACAAAUUUAUCAAAAUUAAAAUCUUAUAGUAAGAAUUUUUAUUUUUUUAAGACAAUAAUUAUUUGAUAAUUGAUAUUACUUUCGUUUAAAAAUAUUUCUCAUAUAUUAAUUUUUACGAAAUUAAAAAAAAAAAAACUUUGAUUUUAAUAUAUAUAAUAUUAAAAUUUAAUUUUGUAUAAAAUUAAAAUUUCAUAAUUUUUUAUGUUAAAAAAAUAAAAAAUAAUUUAAAAUAUAAAAAAUUAAAUAAGAAUUUUAGAUUUUAAAAAAAGAAAUAGGAUAUAUAUGUAACAUCCCAAAAAAAUAGCAAAAAAAAAAAAAAUAAGGAACGGAAUGAGUAGUUAUAAAUAGAUUUUUCACACAAAUGCGUAAUUCGUCAUCUCAAGUUCUCGACUCUCUAACCAUUUACUCUUUUAGCUAUACUUUUUAUUUUGUCUCAGGAAAAAAGAAUAAGUAAAAGAAAUGGAGAAUCGGAGAGAAAAGAGGCACCUCAAGCUCACUUUUGAAUUAUUGAUCCCUUUAUUUUUCUCCUUUUUCAAUUAUUUUUCAGCAAUGAUUUUCUCACCUACUCGGUUUUGUUGGUUUUCAUGGAUUAAAUUUAUUUUUCAAUAAUAAUUUUCUCACUUACUCAGUUUUGUUGGUUUUCAUGGAUUGGAUUCUGUAUCAAAUUAUGCCCCAUGCAAUGCAAUUAGAUUUAAUGACCAAACAAACAAAAGAAAGGGUUAAUGAUUCUAAAUCUCUUGGUUUUUUUUUUUUUUCCUCCAUUGAUUCAUCCUACCACUUGAAAGAAGUAAAUUUUUAGAUUAUAUGAGCUGAUAUGCUGCGAAGUAUCUUAAUUACUUUGGGAGCAAUAUAUCGCUCCAUGAAAAUGAAAGUAAAAGAGAACAAAUGGUUGAUGGAUCAAUUUGGAAAUAAAAAUUCUGCAGAUGGAAGAAAUUAUUCAGUGUUCAUGCAUAUAUUAAGAAUAUACGUUACAUGUCUUAGAUUAAGGGCAUAGUAUAUAUUUUUAUCAUUAAUCUAUCUAAUAUUUUCUCAAUUUUUAAAUGAAUCUAUUUAUUUCACUUUUUUCCUUAUAAAUGCAGUUUUUUUUUUCUUUAAAUAUGCCAGGGAAACAAAUAAGUAAACAACUUUUGAGCAUAUAAAAAACAAUGGAAAUAAAAAUAAUUAUUUAAGCAUACCUAAUUGGGGAUGGAUCUUCUAAAUUAAACUGUGUGGACUCUUUACAUCACCAACUCCAGAUAUCAUUAGGAAAGGAGAAUUAAGGGCCAACCUAAAUAGAAAUUAAAAGAAAAAGGUAAUAAAGAUUAGCAGCAAUAAAAUUAUAAGAACAUUGAAUUAUUUUUUUCUUGUUUCUGAAGUUAAAAGCAAAUCAGAAUAGAUAUAGCAUAAAACAAAAUAGAAAAUAGAAAGCAAAGAAAGCAAAAUAUAUAUAUAUACAGCAACACUAUUUUCUUUCAUUCUAGAGAGAAAAACACAGCAAACAAGAUAAAUAUACCUAGGAAACAUGCAUUCUCAGGAUCCACGCAGUUUUUUUUUUUCUUUUUUUUGAGUUCAAAGAAAACUUAAGUAGAAACCAACCUUGUUUCAAAUGAACAAAGAGCUUCAAGUAUCCACAAAUAUUGAUAAGUUGUGCUGGAAAUCCUUGUGACCGAUUGAACCUACAAAGAAAAGUUUGAUCAAAGACUUUUUUAAUUUCUUUUGAUUCUCUUUUAUCAUCAUUAUUACCAUUUUCCUUGUUCAAAUCCUUAGUGUAAGACAACUAGAAAACGGCUUAUAAUAAGAUUUUCUAUUCUUUUAUAAGGUACCAAUUAUUUGAUAAUUGAUAGUUGCAAAUAAAUUAUUCACACAAAUGCAGAAUUCCCUAUCUUAACUCUUUAACCAUUUACCCUUUUAACUAUUUUGUCUGAUAGGAAAAAAAAUUAAGUUAAAGAAAUAGAGAAAUGGAGAGAGAAGAGGUACCUCAAGCUCACCAAUUUCUUUGGGAAAAUCAAAGACUUGAUCUAAUCCAUUACAGUAACAAACAGAAACAAUUGUUGAUGGAUCAACUUGGAAAUUGAAAAAUCUGUAGAUGGUAGAAAUUCUUAAGUGUUCAUGCGCAUAUAUAUAAGGAAUAUACCAUACAUGUGUUAGAGUAAAGGCAUAGUAUAUAUUUCGAUGAUUCUAUCAAAUUAUUUUCUCAAUUUUGGAGAAUAAAAUAGAAAUGGUUUAUUGGAGCAUGCCUCCCUUGGGAUGGAUCUUCAAGAGCUAUAAGGACCUUUUACUUCACCAACUCCAUAGACCUGUGAAGCAAAUUCGAGGACCAGCCUAUGUAUAGAUUUCAUAUAUAAAAUAUGUCAGUAAAAUUAAAAAAAAAAAAGUUAAGUACAGACCGAACCAAAUGAAAAUAAAAAUAAUUAUUUAAGCAUACGUAAUUGGGGAUCUAAAUUAAGCUGUGAGAACUUUUUACAUCAUCAACUCCUGAGAGACAGGAUAAGUAAGGACCAACCUUAAUAGAAAUUAAAAAAAAAAGGAAAUAACGAUUGGCAGCAACAAAAUUAUAAGAACAUUGAUUUUUUUUCUUUUUUUGGAGUUAAAAAGCAAAUCAAAAUAGAUAUAGCAUGAAACAAAAUAAAAAAUAAAAAUCAAAGAACCAAAAAAUUAUACAGCAAUACUAUUUUUGUUUCUUUUAUUGUAGAGAGAGAAACUAAAAAAAAAUAAAUAUACCUAACAAAUAUGAAUUUUCAGGAUCCAAGAUGGAGCUUUUUAUUUCGUUCCCCACAGGUUUUUUUUUCAAAGAAAACUGAAGUAAAAACCAAAUUUGCUUCAAAUGAACAAAAAGCUUCAAUUAUCAAAAAGAUUGAGAAGUUGUGCUUCAUAUCUUUGUGACCGAUUGAAGCCACAGAAAAAUGUUUCAUCAAAGACUUGUUUAACUUCUUUGGGUUCUCUUUUGUCAUCAUUAUUAUUACCAUUUCCUUGUUCAAAUCUUUGCUGGAAGACACCUAGACAAGGGCCCAAGUGUCUUUUACUUUUCCUGGAAGUUGGGAGCAAUGCUUUUGGGUCAUACCUUUACUUUUUUUUUUUUUUUGGGUGCUCGUUCGAUUUUUUGAAGAAAACUGAUCUAUUGAUGCUAGUGGGACGUGGCAUCAUUAACGCACUUCUAAAUUUUUUACCCCUUUAUUUUUGUCUUCUUUCAAUUAUUUUUCAACAACUACUAAUUUCUCUGUUUUUUUUUUUUUGUUUUUUUUGGUUGCUUUUCGUGGGAUUAGAUUCUGCGUCGAAUUAUGCCCUACGCGUUGAAAGAUUUAAUGAUUCAAAAUCUUAUUUAUUUCCUCCGUUGAUUUAUCUUAACGUAUGAAAAAAAUAGUUUUUUAGAUUAUCUUAGCUGAUGUACUGCAAAACUGCAAAGGUUACAGCUUACACUAAUUUAUCAAAAGUAAAAUCUUAUUAUAAGAUUUUUUAUUCUUUUAUAACUUAACAAUUAUUUGAUAAUUGAUGGUUGUAAAUAGAUUUUUCACACAAAUACAAAAUUUUCUAUCUCAACUCUCCAUCCAUUUACUCUUUUAGCUAUUUUGUCUGAUAGGGAAUAAUAUAAGCAAAAGAAAUAGAGAAUUGAAAAGAGAAGAGGUACCUCCAGCUCAUCCAUUCCAUUGAGAAAAUCAAAGAUUUGCUCUAAUGGAUUACAGUCACAAACAGAAACAAUUGUUGAUGGAUCAACUUGCAAAUUGAAAAUUCUGCAAAUAGUAGAAAUUCUUCGGUGUUCGUGCACGUGUAUAUUAAGAAUAUAUCAUAAUGUUUUAGAGUAAAGGCAUAGUAUAAAUGCAGUUUUUAUUUAAAUAUGGUAGGGAAAGAAACAAGUAAAGAACUAUGGAGCAAAUAACAAAUUAUGGAAAAUAAAUAAAUAUAUAUAUAUAUAUAUUAUUUAAGCUUACCUACCUAGGAAUGGAUAUUCUAAAUUGAAGUAUGUGGACGUUUUACAUCACCAACUCCAGAGAUCAUUAGGAAGGGAAAAUUAAGGACCAGCCUAAAUAGAAAUUUAAAAAGAAAUGGUAAAAAAAUCAACAACAAUAAAAUUAGAAGUACAUGAAAUUAUUUUUUUCUUUCUUUGGAGCUAAAAGCAAAUCAAAAUAGAUAUAGCAUGAAACAAAAUAAUACAGUACUUUUUUAUCAUUAAAAAUGAAAAAGAAAGUAGAAAGCAAUGAAAGCCAAAAAGAUAUAGCAACAUUAUUUAAGUUAAUGUCUUUAUUAUUCCUCUUACCUGUUUAAGUUAAUACUUUUUAUGAAAUUUUUAAUUUUAAAAAUAUCAAUCUUUUUACGUUUUUUAUCCUUAAAAGUAUUUUUUAGCCAUUUAUCUUAACUAUUUACUGGAAAAAUAAUUAAUUUAAAUUUUAUGUUGCCUACUUUAUUCUUAUUUUCAUUUAUCAUUCUUAAGGUGUUAUAACACUUUUAAUUCAUUUUACGUCAAAUGAUAUUAAUUUUAUUAUCUUUUUUAUUUGUUUAUGUUAUUAAGUUUUUUUUAAAGAAGUUUGUUUUUAUUUUCAAAUAUUAAUUGUUAACAUUUUCUUUUUUAGACCUUAAAAUAUUUUUAGCGAUUAACCUAAAAUUAUUUUAUAAAAAAAAUAAUUAAUUUAAAUUUUACAUUACCAAUUUAAUUAUUAUAUUAAAAUAAUAUUGUCUAACAUCUACUCUAUAUUAUAUUAUGAUUAUAAUUUUUAUAGCCAUUUCUUAAUCCAUUACGAUAUUUUUAACAUAUUUUACAUCAAUAUGAAUUUUAUUACUCUUACAUGUUUACGUUUAUUCUUUAUCUUUUAUUAUGUUUAAAAUUUUCAUAACUCUUUUUUAUGAUGUUAUGAUACUUCUAAAUCAUUUUAUACUAAUUGAUAUGAAUUUUAUUAUUCUUCUCAUUUAUUUACACUAGUAAUUUUUUAAAAAAAAAUAUUUCUAACUCCUUUUACCUUAAUUGAUAUGAAUUUUAUUAUUAUUCUCAAAUAUUUAUGUUUAUUCUUACUUUUUAUUACAUUUUAAAUUUUUAUAAAUGUUUAUUUUAAUGUUACGACACUUUUUUAAAUUUUUAAAAUUUUAAAUUUUUUAAUAUUACUUUUUUAACAUUAACUUUUUAGCCUUUAAAGUAUUUUUAGCCAUUGGCUUAAAAAAUUUACAAAAAAAAUAAUUAUUAAUUUAAAUUUUACAUUUCAAACUUAAUUAUUUAUGUUAAAAUAAUAAUUUUUAUACUUUUUUUCUUAAUUAUUUAUGUUAAAAGAUUUAUAACUUUUUUUUAUAAUACUUAUGACCUAUUUUACAACAAAUUAUACUAAUUUUAUAAUUUUUCACACAUGUUUACAUUAAUAAUUUUUUUGAUAUUUUAUUUUCAAAAAUUAAUUUUUUAACUUUUAAGUAUUUUUUAGUCAUUGCCCAAAAAAAAAUUUACAUGAAUAUAAUUAAUUUAAAUUUUACAUAACAACUUAAUCAUUUAUGUUAAAAAAUAUCUUUUUACGAUUUAUUUUUAUCUUUCUAUCAUAUUUAAAAUUUUUAUAAUUUUAUCUUGAGUUAUUACAUCACUUUUAACUUAUUUUAAACUAACUGCUAUAAAUUUUAUUAUUCUUCUCAAUUAUUUACAUUAAUAAUUUUUUACAAUAAAUUUUAAAAUAUUAACUUUUUAUGUUAUCAUUUUAGCCUUGAAAGUAUUUGUUUAGCCAUUGAUGUUAUAUAUCUAUUAAUUAAAAAAAUAAUUAAUUUAAAUUUUACAUUACUAAUGUAAUUAUUUAUGUUAAAAUAAUAUCUUUCAACACUUAAAUUUUGCUUGGUUAAAAUUAAAGAUAAAAAAAAUCAUGAGUGAAAAACUUAUUAAUCCAAUAAUUAAAAUUUAUAAUAUUUUUUUAUUGUAUACUUUAAAUUAAAAAGUUGUAUCCUUACCCCUUUUCAUUUUCUAUAUCAAGUAAAACCUUAUUCUUACCUUUUAUUAGUUUUAAAUUUUUCAUAACUUAUUUUUUAAAAUGUUGCAAUAUUUUUAAUAAAUUUUAUGUCAAUUGAAACAAAUUUUAUUUUUUCUAGAUCUCACAUCUUUACAUCAAUAUUUUUUAUUCUUUCAUUUUAAAAAAUAAUUCUUUUAUAUUUUCCUUGAAAUUAUUUUAUGUUAAUAUUUUAUUAAUUUAUAUAGAAUCAUAUUUUUGUUUAAUAAUACUUUUAGCUAUUUUAAGAGAUACUAAUUAUUUUAAAAUUUUAAAAUAUAUAUUUUAUUAUUUUUUAUUUUUAAGUAAAUUCAUAAACAAGUAAGAAAGUGAAAAAACGAAGACUAAUCGAGGCAAACGAGAAAUGAAGUUGAGCAUAGCAAAAAUUAUGGAGAAUAAAAUUUAUAUAUAAUGGUUUAUUGAAGCAUACCUCACUUGAGAUGGAUCUUCAAAAGCUGUAUGGAUCUGUAAUGGAAAAUCAAGGACCAGUUUUUUUUUUUUCUAUUUCCCUGUUAAAAGAACAGAAAAUUAGAAAUCAAUAAAAGCCAAAAAAAAAAAAAAAGAACGCUUUUUUUAGUUAUAAAAGCAAAGUAGAAAAUCAAGGAAAUUAAAAAAGCACCAAAAUUUUUUUGUUGAGUUAUAAAAAGAAGAGCAAUAAAGCAGAAAUCAAGCAAAGGAUUUGGUACUCUAGCUAGCUGGAAGAUGUGGAGAUAAUGAUAGAAGACGAUGCUUGAUUGCCUCGAUGGAAACUGUUUGAGGAGAGAGCUGUAAGCGAAAGGUUAGGCAGCAAUACAAAAGAAGAAAAGAUAGAAAUAACAAAGAAAUGUGAAGUUUCAAGAUCCAACAACUUUGCUUCAAUUGAAUAAAAAAUUGAACCAUCAAAGACUUCGCUGACCAAUUGAAACUACAAAGAAAAGUAAGUUUCACCAAAGACUUCUUUAAUUUUUUUGGAGUCUUUGUUUAUUAUUAUUGUAAUUACUAUUUUUCUUAUUCUAAUCCUUAGUGGAAGACGAUUAGACAAGGGCCUGAUCGUCUCUUUCUUUUCUUGGGAGCUGUACCUUUUUUAAUUGAUCACUAUAUUACGGUUUAAUAUUAAACUUUGUCAUUGGAUUUUUAAUUUAUUGAUUUUUAAAUAAAAAUAAUAAAAUAAUAAUAUUUUAAAAAUAUUCUAUUAAUAUAAGUGAUACAUUUCUGUUAAUUCCAAUUUUCUUACGAGUUUUAAGAAAACUCAUGAAAUACAAGCAACUUUGCUUCAAAUGAAAAAAAAAAAAAAACUAUCCACAAAUAUAAAAGAGUUCUACUUAAAUUCUUUGUAAUUAAUUAAAUUAUUUUAAAAAUUGCAUCAAAGACUUAUUUUAAUUUUUUUUGAAGUUUAUUAUUAUUAUUAUUAUUAUUAUUAUAAAAUUACUGCAUUUCCUUGUCUUGGGAGAAAUAUAUUUUAAGUUCACACCUUUCAUUUUUUUUUUCUUUCUUUCGAGAAAAUCUGAUCGUUAUCAAGAUUGCCAGCUUGUUCUUCACAGCUUUUGUUAGUGAGAUCUAACAUUCACUUUUGAAUUUUUGGUCUUGUUACUUUUUUUAAAUUAUUUUUCGGCAGUAAUUUUCUCAACUACUUGGUUUUGUUCGUUUUCACGGGAUUACAUUGUGUGUCAAAUUAUGCAACAUGCGAUACAAGAUUUAAUGCCGAACAAAUUAAAUCUUCAUUUUAAUUAAAAUAAAGAGACAAAUUUCAUAAUUUGAUAUUUAUGGAUUAUUUUAAUAGUUGUUUCAUAAAUUAAAAAAAAUUAUUUGAAAAGUUGUAUAAAAAUAUAAAAAAUUUUAUUAAAUACAUUAACAGUAAAAUUUUUAAAAUUUUAUAAACGAAAUUAAAAUAAUGACACAUUUUUUAUAUAUUUAAAAAUUUUAAUUUAAAAAAUAUAUAUUAUCAUUUUAAUUUAAUUUGUAAAAUUAAAAGAUUUUACUAUUAAUUUAUCAAAUACUUUUUAAAAUAUAAUUUCAAAAUUUUGUGAAAAAAUAUGAAUGAAUUAAUUUUAAAAAUUGAAAUCAACAUCAAAAUAAAAAAAAUUAAAAACGUAUUAAUUUUUCUGCAUUGUCAUUACCAUUUUUCUUAUUCAAAUCCUUGUGAAAGACAGCAAGAGAAGGGGCCAAGCAUCUACUUCUUUUCCUAAAUUAUUUAACCAGUAAAUAAAAGUGCAAUGGCACAUGGAUUAGCAACAAAUUGACCGCACAUGCAGGUCACGUGCGCUUUAACGGUCCCUAACAGGUUUGUUAAAUUUUUGUUUGUUUCUUUGUUGGUGUAAUCUUUUUUAGUCUUUCUAAAAAAAAAAAAAGGUUUUUUCCUUAUCAUUCACGGCGCAAACAGUCACCGAUGCUUUUAAGAGGCAUAAGAUCUCAAUUUUAUUCAUAUUUAAUAAAAAAAUUAAUUUUUCAUCUGAACGAAAAUAAAAAAUAAAUAUUAUAUUAUAUAAAUAAAAAUAAAUAUAACUUUAAAUUUUUAUAAAAUACGAAUAUGAAAAUAAGUAUAGAAAAAUAAUAUAACACUUGCUUCAUAUUUAUAUUUUAUACAUAUUUAUAUAUAAUUAAUAAAUAAGUUUUUUAUUAAAUAAUAUAAAUUAUUAUUUUAAAUUAAUUAAAAUAAAUAUAUUUUUAUUAAAAAUAUAUAUUAAUAGAUAUUUAUUAAAAAUUAUCUAUAAAUACAAAUUAAAAAUAAAAAAAUAAUUUUUUAUUUUUUAAAGAUUAUAAAAAUAAAAAUUACUCAUAUUUAUUAAAUAUUUAUAAAAAUAAAAUAAAUUUAAAAUUUUAUUAAAUAUAAAUAUGAAAAUAAAUAUAAUAUAUAAAUAUAUAAAUAAAAAUAAUAAAUAUUUUAUCUUUCCCGUAUCCUAGUCUUUCGCGUCCCUAAAAAUAAACGAAUGAGAGACAACAACCAAUUACGACUUACGAGGGGAGCAAGGGCUUUGUAUUUGGUCUACGUCGGGGACCACCCCCUCACCCUGACAUAUUCCCUUAUCUUGAAAUCCACAUUUCCACGUUGUUUGAUCUUUAGCUUUAACGAAAUGCCACCCUCAAUUUCAAAUAUUAAACUGUGUAGCAUUAAUUUUGACACUAACUUCUUGUUUCAUUCGAUUCCAAUUUUUAAAUUCCCUUUCAAAUAACUUAAGAGCCGAAUAUCACGCAAUUUUCUUGGAUUCUCUUUUGUUAUAAUUAUUACCCUUUUUUGUUAUUCAAAUUUUAAUGGAAGAGAGCUAGCUAAAGUCUGUUUAUAUUUUUAUAAAAGAGAAUUUUAUUUACGAAAUUUUAAAUUUUAACAGAUAAAAUGAUUUUUGAAUAAGUGUAAAUUUUCAAUAAGAAAUGAUUUUUUAUGUUAUUCAAAUAUUAAAUUUUUAUAUUUGAUUCAAAAAAAAUUAAAUUACUUAAUAAAAGAUUUUUAUUAUAAUGAUUUUCUUUACAUGUGAAUAAUCACGUGAUAAUUAUUUUAAUUACUAUUAUAUUAUUAAAAUUAAACAUGUGACAGGUAUUAAACAAUUAAAAUAUAAAAAGGUUUUUAUUUUUAUAUUAUUAAAAAUAAGCUAGUUUAUUAUGAUAAAAAUAUAUUUUUUUUCAAAAAAAGAAUAUAUAUAUAUGAUAAAAUAAAAAACAUAAUAUCUAAUUGAAACAAAAUACAAUUAAGAACACAAACUUUAAUUGAUGUUUAAAAAGAUAAUUUGUAAAAACUACGUUUUUAAAAAUAUAAACCUAAUCUUUAAUUGAAAAAAUUUUAUUACAGAUUAUAUUUUUUAAAUUAGAUUAUCUUAGCUGAUAUGCGGUGAAACUUCACUAUUUAUAGUAAUUUAUCAAAAUUAAAAUCUUAGAAUAAAAUUUUCUAUUAUUUUCUUAGAUAAAAAUUGCUUGAUAAUUGAUAGUUGUACAUGAAGUUUUCACACAAAGAAAAAUUCCCCAACUCCAAAUCUCAAACCAUUUACUAUUUUUCCUUCUUAAAAUACAUGGACUCACGGUUGGGGAGGGGAUUUUCAUGAAACCAUUGAAAUCGUAAAACCAAUGAAUGGUGAGCUAAGUUGAUUCUUUCUUUUCUUAAAUAAUACGAAAUUAAUUUCAAAAAAUUAUUUCAUCCACUCUAAAUGAAAUUCUGUUAUUUGCAAAGACAAAGACAAUUCUACUUAUGGUAGUUUGCUACUAAGCUAAUUCUAUGGUUAACUAAUUAAAUAUUAAUUAUAACCAGCAUGCUUUAAACUUAAUUAGAACAAAACAGGAAAAAUAAUUUCAUCAACACAAAUUGAGAUUUAAUUAUUUCUAAUCAUUUGUAAUGAGAUUGAGAUAUGUGCUAUAUAUAUAUAUAUAUUCCCAUAUUAUCUAUGAAACCUAAUUUAAAGUAUCAAUUUUAAUUAUUUUAAUAAAAAAAUUCUUUCAUAAAUUUUUUUUUAUCUAAUUUUUGAGUAUACAUAUGAAAUCUUUAAAUUUGAGAUACGAAAAUUUGUGAACAGCUCUUUGAAGUAAAUCUUUUAAUGUACCUUAAAUUAGAAAGAUGAAAGAAUUAAUGAAAGACAAGGACCCAAAUAUCCUUCUCUUAUGGAGUUUCGCUUCACUUUUCUUUUCAUUUUUUUCCUAAAUUAUUCAACCAAUAAAUAAUAAUGUAAUAGCAAGAGGAAUGCAUAGGUCUUAAAGAUCCACAAAUAUAAAAAAGUUCUACUUAAAGUCUUUGUAAUUAAUUAAAACUACCUAAAAAAAAAUACAUCAAAGACUUCUUUAGGUUUUUUGGAGUCUUUUAAUAAUAAUAAUAUUAUUAUUAUUAUUACGAAAACCUUAAGUGGAAGACAACUUGACAAGGGUCCAAUGUACCAUCAUUUCCUUGUCUUGGGAGAAACGCAUUUAAGUUCACACCUUUAAUAUUUUUUUCUUUUCUUUCGAAGAAAUCUGAUCGUUAUCAAGAUUGCCAGCUUGUUCUUUACAGCUUUUGUAGUGAGAUAUGACAUUCACUUUUGAAUUUUUGGUCCUGUUACUUUUGUUUUUUUUUUUUAAUUAUUUUUCAGCAGUGAUUUUCUCACCAACUUGAUUUGGUUGGUUUUCACGGGAUUACAUUCUGUAUCAAAUUAUGCAACAUGCGAUACAAGAUUUAGUGCCCCACAAACUAAAUCUUCAUUUUAAUUAAAAUAAAGAGACAAAUUUCAUAAUUUGACAUUUAGGAUAAUUUUAAUAGUUGUUUUAUAAAUUUAACAAAAAUCAAAAAAAUUGUUCGAAGAGUUGUAUAAAAAAUAUAAAAAAUUUUAUUAUAUAUAUUAACAAUAAAAUUUUUUAAUUUUAUAAAUGAAAUUAAAAUGAUAAUAUAUAUUUUAUAUAUUUAAAAAAUUUAAUUUAAAAAAUAAGAUAUGUAUUAUUAUUUUAAUAUAAUUUAUAAAAUUAAAAAAUUUCAUUAUAAAUUUAUCAAAUAAUUUUUUGAAAUAUAAUUUCAAAAGUUUGUAAAAAUUAUGAAGAAAUUAAUUUUAAAAAUUAAAAUCAAAGUCAAAAUAAAUAACAUUAAAAACCUAUUAAUUUUUUUAGUAUUGUCAUUUCCAUUUUUUUUAUUCAAAUCCUUGUGAAAGACAGCAAGAGAAGGGCCCAGGCAUCUUUUUCUUUUACUAAAUUAUUUAACCAGUAAAUAAAAGUGCAAUGGCACAUGCAUUUAGCAACAAAUUGAUCGCACAUGCAGGUCACGUGCGCUUUAACAGUGCCUUUAACUGGUUUGUUAAAGUUUUGUUUGUUUCUUCGUCGGUGGAAUCUUUUUCACUGUUUCUAAAAAAAAAAUAAGGUGUUUUCCGUAUCAUCCACGGCGCAAACAGUGGUUUUCUGACACGACGCUUUCAAGAGGCAUGGGAUCUGAAUUUUAUUCAUAUUUAAUAAACAAUAUAAUUUUUCAUCUGAACGAAAAUAAAAACAAAUAUUAUAUUAUAUAAAUAUAAAUAAAUAUAAUUUUAAAUUUUUAUAAAAUACGAAUAUGAAAACAAGUACAAAAAAAAAUAAUAUAACAUUUAUUUCAUAUUUAUAUCUUAUAUAUUUUUAUAUAAUUAAUAAAUAUAUUUUUUAUUAAAUAAUAUAAAUUAUUAUUUUAGAUUAAUUAAAAUAAAUAUAUUUUUAUUAAAAAAUAUCUUAAUAGAUAUUUAUUAAAAAUUAUCUAUAUAUUCAAAUUAAAAACUAAAAAAAUUUUUAUUUUUUAUUUUUUUAAAGACUAUAAAAAUAAAAACUACUCAUAUUUAUUAAAUAUCUAUAAAAAUUAAAAUAAAUUUAAAAUAUUUAUUAAAUAUAAAUAUAAAAAUAAAUAUAAUAUAAAACUAUAUAAAUAAAAAUAAUAAAUAUUUUAUCUUUCCCGUAUCCUAGUCUUUCACGUCCCUAAAAAUAAACGUAUGAGACACAACAACCAAUUACGACUUACGAGGGGAGCAAGGGCUUGUCUUUGGUCUGCGUCGGGGACCACCCCCUCACCCCGAUGUAUUCCCUUAUCUUGAAAUCCUCAUUUCCACAUUGCUUUGAUCUUUAGCUUCAACGAAAUGCCAACCUCAAUUUCAAAUAUUAAACUGUGUAGCAUUAAUUUCGACACUAACUUCUUGGUUCAUUCGAUUCCAAUUUUUAAAUUCUCUUUUAAAUAACUUAAGAGUCGAAUAUCACGCAAUUUUCUUAGAUUAUCUUUUAUUAUAAUUAUUAUCAUUUUUUGUUAUUCAAAUAUUAGUGGAAGAGAGCUAGCUAAAGUCUAUACACUACUCUAAAGUAUAGACUUUAAUAUAUCUUAAAUUAUUAUGACAUAAUAUAUAUUUCAAUUAAAGGUAAAGUAUGAAUUAUCAAAUGGACAGAUAGAAGAAGAUAAAUAAUUAAAUUCAUCAUGAUUUCAACGAAAAGAAGUAUUCCAACUAAAUAAUAUUCUUUCUUAGGAAAUAAAAAGAAAAAGAUGAAGAUGCUUUUUCAAGAAGUGUAAUGGCAAGAGGAUGUGUCUUAUUCAUACUUUUACAAAGGAGAAUUUGAUUUAUGAAAUCUUAAAUUUAAAAAAAAAAGAUUUUUGAGUAAGUGUAAAUUUUCAGUAAUAGAUGAUUUUUUAUGUUAUUUGAAUGUUUGAUUUUUGUAUUUAAUUAGAGAAAAAAUUAAAUAACAUAAUAAAAGGUUUUUAUUAUAAUGACCUUAUUAUAACACAUGAUCAAUAUUUCAACUGCUCUUAUAUUAUUAAAAUUAAAUCUGUAACAAUCAUUAAAUAAUCAAAAUAUAAAAGAUUUUUUUUAUAAUGUUAAAAAUAAGCUAGUUUAUUACCAGCCAAGAAAAUAUAUUUUUUUCAAAAAUAUAUAUAUGAUAAAAUAAAAAACAUAAUGUCUAACCGAAACAAAAUACAAUUAAGCACACAAUCUUUAAUUGACGUUUUAAAAUAUAAUUUGUAAAAACUACGUUCUAAAAGUAUAAACGUAAUCUUUAAUUGAAAAAAAAUUACUAAAGAUUAUAUUUUUUAAAUUAGAUUAUCUUAGCUGAUAUGUAAUGAAACUCCACUAUUUGUAGUAAUUUACCAAAAUUAAAAUCUUAAAGUAAAAUUUUCUAUUAUUUUCUAAGAUAGAAUUGCUUGAUAAUUGAUAGUUGUACAUGAAGUUUUCACACAAAGAAGAAUUCCCCAACUCCAAAUCUCAAACCAUUUACUAUUUUUCCUUCUUAAAAUACAUGGACUCACGGUUUGGGGAAGGGAUUUUCAUGAAACCAUUGAGAUCGUAAAACCAAUGAAUGGUGAACUAAGUUAAUUCUUUCUUUUCUUAAUUUAUACAAAAUUAAUUUCAAAAAAUUAUUUCAUCCACUCUAAAUGGAACUCUGUUCUUUGCAAAGACAGAGACAGUUCUACUUAUGGUAGUCUGCUACUAAGCUAACUCCAUGGUUAACUAAUUAAAUAUUAAUUAUAGCCAGAUCUGCAUGCUUCAAGCUUAACUAGAACAAGACGUAGAAAAUAAUUUCAUCAACACAAAUUAAGAUUUAAUUAUUUCUAAUUAUUUCUAAUGAGAUUGAGAUAUGUGCUAUAUAUAUAUAUAUUCUCAUAUUAUCUAUGAAACCUAAUUUAAAGUAUCAAUUCCAAUUAUUUUAAUAAAAAAAUUCUUUCAUAAUUCUCUUUUAUCUAAUUUUUGAGUAUACACCUGAAAUCUUUGAAUUUGAAGUGCGAAAAUUUGUGAACAGCUCUUUGAAGUAAAUCUUCUAAUGUUUGUUAAAUUAGAAAGAUGAAAGAAUUAGUGAAAGACAAGGGCCCAAUCAUCCUUCUCUUUAUGGAGUUUCGCUUCACUUUUCUUUUCUUUUUUCCCUAAAUUAUUCAACCAUUAAAUAAUAGUGUAAUUCCAAGAGGGAUGGGUCUUAAAUAUGCAAAUUAGUUUGAUAAUUUGUGUAUUUAUAUUAUAUAAAAUAUUAAUAUUUAUAUAUUUAUAUUAUAUUUUAUAUAAAAAUUAUGUGUUGUAAUUCAUGUCAGAUACAAAAAUAUGAAAUAUAUUUUUUUAAUUUUAUUAAAUUCAUAUUUGAUUUUUGCUAAAAUUUUAAACUGUUUUAUUUUCAUAUUUUUUACUCGUAUCAUUUCAUAUUAUAUUAUUGUAUCGUAUUUUAAAUUAUUAAGUUUAAUAAAUUUUAAUUUAUUUUGACUUCUUUUUUAGAAUUAUUUUAUUUAUUUAUUUAUUUUUAUUCAUAGUUCUGUUCUUAUUCAAGGGAUUAGAUUGUAUGUCAAAUUAUGCCCCAUGAGAUGCAAGAUUUAAUGACCAAACAAAGAAAGAGUUCAUGAAUCAAAAUCUUUUUUUUCUCUUUCCUUUAUUUAUCCUAACAAAUAUAAAAAAAAAAAAACCUAAAAUUUCAGUAGCAUACAACAAAAUUUUUUUAUCAUAAUAAAUUUAGUACUUAAAUUUUUUAAAACUAAAAAUUUUAUAUUUACUCAUUUAGUAUUGAAUUUGCUCAAUUUAUCAAUGAUUACUUCAAUUAAAGUAUGAAAACAUUUCAUGCAAUUCUUGUGCAUAUUACCUUUAGCAUAUCUGGAAGUUUAUUUGGACUCUAAAAUAUUUUGAUAAAAGACUGAAAAUCUGAACAUCUAUGAGUUUUCAUUUUUUAGAUUAAUAUAUGCUUUAUUUAUGCUUGUUGCAGGACUCUCCUUUUGAUUGAAGUUGCUGAAAAUGCUGUGAAAAGGUCUACUCUUUUCACUUUUCUUACCAGUAAUUUAUGGAAUUUUUAUUUAUUAUCAUUGUAAAUUUUUGUUUCAAUGGUUUUUAUAAUGCUUUUAUUACUCUUCUGACUCAGAUGUUAGGCUUUUGUUGGGUUCUUUAUCCAACAUUUUUUCCCUUGGAUUUCCUCUAUGAUACUGUCAUUGUGCAUGUAUUGCAUGUUUACAAUUUGUUAUUAUUAUUGAAUAAAGGUUCUUUUUUAUUAUUAUUAUUUUGUAAUUGUGAUUUAGUUUUGUUAGUAAAUUAAUGUGUAGCUUGUCUCAUAGAUUGCAUGCAUGAUGAGUUUCUCUGUUUCAGUUGUAUAGAAAUAUUGCAUGAAGCUUUAUUAUUAUUAAUUUUAUAUGAAAUCAGUGUUCAUAAAUCCCAGAAAAGAAACAUGUUAAUGGGGGGGGGGGGGGUUUAUCUUUAGUCUUCAAUGAAUCCAAGGCUGGGGGGAGAUCUAUACGGUGUUAUUUUUAUCAAAAUUUGUCGUUUUAGUCGUGGAAAGUUUGAAUUGUUGGAACAAUUUUAAGAUUUUUUAUGGAAAUUCGAAGUGAUUCUUUCAUUAUUGGAAAAAAAAUUAGAGGCUAUUUUUUUUUCAUAGGAACAUAAACAGAUAGAUUUGUAUUGAAAUAUGUUCAGCCAUGAUUUCUUGGUUUUUAUUCCUAUUGUAAUUAGCUAAUUCAACCUGUUGGCCAUGAUUUUGGGUCAUGUUGCUUUGCUGGAUUUAUACAUGUUGAAUGAGUAUUAUUGAUGUCCACAUUACCUAUGUUUGAUAAGAAACAUGAUUGUGACUGCCCCAUUUUCUCCGGCAAUAGCUCGAUAGCUUCACUAAAUAAGAUACAUGAUUGUUGGCUGGGAUAUUCCUAAAGAGGAAGGGUGUUCAACAUGGCCUUAAUGACCUGCAGUGGUGUUGAGAAGUCAACAUUCUUGCUCGAUGAUUUAUGAAGUUGAAUAUUUGCCUUUUGAUAUGUUUGUUAAACACGGUUGUGCUUUCUACCAGCUUGGUUGUAUAGGUUAUAAUGUACCUACCCUUUUGUCUUCCAGGAAAGAAACAGUAUUAAGAUCUGUGGAAAAAGCAAUUUCUUUGCUACAAAUUUGUGAUGGAUCAAGACAAUGACCAAGAGAAUAAAUCUGAUGCAUCAGCAGAUGUUCCGCUGAAGUGCAGACGUGGUCGCCCGAUGAAACAUCUGAAACAUAAUCUAAAACAGAGGGAGAAUCCAAAUCUGAACUGUGCAGGGAAUACCCGUAUCCGACCUGGAUUUGAAGGGGUGAACGGAAAUCAACCCCGUCAAGCAAAUUCAAUCAAUGAUGCAAAUGAUAUAAUGAUGGGUCAUUCUGUUUAUAGUAUUAUUGAGGCAGCAUUUGUUGCAGGAUAUUUGCUCACUGUUAGGGUUGGCAACUCUGACACCACUUUAAGGGGUGUGGUUUUCAAGCCUGGCCAUUUUGUUCCUGUUUUAGCUGAGAAUGAUGUGGCACCAAAUGUUCAAAUGAUCAGAAGAAAUGAGAUUUCCUUCCCAAGGGAGAGGAAUGAGCAGCAUGUCAAUUCUCGUAGAAAUGGAUCUGCUCAUUCAUUCAAUGAACCAGCUGUUGUCAACCAGGUGCCUCCAGCCUGGUUUUCAAAUCUUGGAGGCUUAAAAAGCAAACAUGUCCAGUCGGUCUCAACACAAUCUGCUUCUCCACUAAUGACCAGAGGCAUUGUGGUGCCUGUUGUGCUCCAAACUGCUAAUUUAUCAAACCGUGAAUUAGUUUCCUACCAAUCAUCUCUGGUUGCAAGCCAACCAGCUUAUUUGGUGGCCUCUAAAGGCAAACAAGUGUCUGAAGCUGCUGAUACAUCAAAUGAGGUAAAACCCACCAACCAGAUGCCAACAGUUAGAAAUCAAAUAUUUUUUACUCAAUCUCUAAGUAGUAACCACAGCAUGCCAAAAGGCAUACAAAGUGAAACUGUUUUAUAUAAUUAACCCGCAACAGAGUUUUUGCUGGAGACAGAAGCCAUGUCAAUGACUGGCAUGGCUUUUGAGAAACUAUUAACUGUAGUCAUGAAAAGAACUCAAGUACCCCUACAAAACUUUAACCUGAGGAUCAAAACUGAUGCCAUUACUUGGAAUUAAAGCUUUUUUUUUUGUCACUUCACAGAUUUAUAGAAAUCUAUCUUCAUUUUACUUUAUGCUUUGUUAUCAUUUAGAGUCCAUUUAGGAGUCCGACUGGAGGGCUCCCCAUAGCGCAUUUUAUGGUUGGACACUUAGUAAACGGCCCUUAUUAAAUAUAUGUGGCUUCCUUAUAUUAAGAUCAUCUAAGCAUUGAGCACGAGACUUGUGAUGUUGUCAAUUAAGUGGAAACUAAAUGUCUUUAAUGGAAUACAAAAUCAUCAGUGGCUAUGGAGAACGUUUGCAAAUGAUUGUGAUGUCAAAAUCAUGAUGGGGGCUUUUUUCCGUACCCUAUUUGUUUUAGAACUCAGGUUAACUCUUGCACUGGGUUAAACCUUGAUAUAGAUUAGCCUCCAUUCUUCUACCAAUUCAUCAUUGAGAGUCUCACCUCGCUGUCACCACCUCGACAGCCUCUUCAUGAAGUACAAAUCUUCAAUAGAACGUUUAUUGAUUAAUUGACCGUAAAUUUGAACAUGAAGUUUAGUUUAGUUGGUUCAUGUAAUCGUUUUUAAAAAGUAACAUUCAACAAGUUUAAAAUUCGAAUAUUAAGCUAUUAGCACUUGUAACUUCUAUUCUUAAAUUAUGAUCUCAUUCGAUAAAUAAAUUUAUGAUUUGAGUUAAUUCUUCAUUCGUAAGGAACCUUAAGUUCUUUGGUAACCAAAAUUACAUAAAUUAGUUACCUUAUAAGGCUAUGCUGCUUGAUCUAUUGUAUCAAUAACCAAAUUGGUGAAAAAAAUAACAUACAAGCCAAUUUCACUUGCAUUGUUGAAUCACUUUAUGAUAGUUUAAAACUCUUAUAAUAUUGCUAAUGAUCUUAUCUUGGUUGCAAGAGGAGGUUCUUGAAAUAUUCAAAUCUCAAAGUUCAAGUUCUAUUAUUUUUAGAUUUGAUCUAAUUGUAUAUCCGAUUUGUUCGGUUUUAUGUUGAUUCACUAAUUUAUUAUAAUAAUUAUUAUUAUUGAAAAAGAAAGAAUUUGAAUCCCAUGUACCAUUCCUUGAGUUAUGUGCUCUCAAUUCGUGCAUAUUUGAUAAUUUAUGUAUUCGUAUCAUGUAAAAAAUUAAUAUUUUGUAUAUUCGUAUCAUAUUUACGUAAAAAUUAUAUAUUAUAAUCCAUGUGAACAUUGAAAAUAUAAAAUACAUUUUUUUAUUUUUGUUAAAGCAUAUAUAAUUUUUGUUAAAAUUUUAGUUCAGUAUCACAUUUGUUUUUUUGUUUUCCAAUAUAGAUCCAAAUUAAUUACUUGAACAAAAUAUCGAACCUAUAUAUAUGCAAAUAUUCCUUUAUCAUCGAAUUAAACCUAAGUAAGGUAAAUAACUUUCUUUUAAUUUCUGUCUAAAAAAUUUCUUUUAACUUCAUCAAUAACCUUAAACAUGGGUUUUCAUCUGUACCUGUACAAUUUGUGGUUUCUGGGUUUCCUUUAUCAUUAAACCAACAUGUGUUUGAUUUGGGUUAUAUUUUUAAUUUUCCUUUGUAAAUGUCAUGAAUUCAUCAUCAUUAUUGCAUGAUAUCUUUUGGUAUUAUUGUUGGGGAUGCUUCUACAAAAUUUGCCACAACUUAAAUAAAAAAUCUCCACAAAGUAUAUUGUAGGUAAAUUUGUGGUAUAAUUAACUUCAAAUUCAAUUAAUUCAUUAUAUUUUUAGAUACUGAUAUGGGUCUCGACACAUUUUGAACACUUUAAUGUUCAUAUUUGUAGGAUACUUUGAUUUUUAAAAUUAAUAUAAAAGAUUAUCAAAAACAAAAUUUAUUCAUGUUCGAUGUCCUAUCACACAAGUUCAUAUAACAUAAUGUAUAAAUAGCAUACCACUGAAUUAAUUAUUAAAUCACCACAACAAAAACAAGCAUGGAAGACCAUCUAUGACAUGCAAGUAGACAAAAAUAUGUACUACUCAUCCAUACAAGCUGCUAUAGGGAACUAAUAAGGAACCAGCAAACCAAUCUAAACAUAAAAAAUCAUGUUUCUUAAGAGUACAUGAAUUUUGCCAACAAUCCCUUGGCCAAGAUAUAAGAAAAGGAUUUAUGAGACAUGUAAGCUUGAGUUCGAGUUCAAAUAUACAAAAAAAAAAAAACGUGAAAUUUGUCUUAAAUGAAUGGCUAAACAUGGCUUUAUUUUACAAUAUCAAACAAGUAAAUGCAAUGCAACAUAGGGUAAACUAGUCCUUCACUGCAAAGUAAAGCUCAAAAAGUAGAGAAAGUAGAGAUCCAAUCAGUUGACGGCAUCAUAAAACAAAAAGCUCAAACGAUGAUAAGCACAAUUAAAUAUCAACCACCUAUCAUUGAGGCAAAAAAUUGAUAAGAAUUUAAAUAAGAAACUUGAUUAAGGAAAUUAUAAAUAUAUUGAUGGAGACGGAUUCAAGAUUUUUGUUAGGAAGUAUUUACUUACAAUAUAUAAAAUACUAUUGAUGAAUUUAUCAAUUUUAUCCAUGAAAAAGGUGUUAAGAAGAAAGUUUUGGACGUUCAUGAAAAUUUUUUCUUUAAAAUUUUUUUAUUUUCUAAAUUUUAAGAGUUUCCGGAAAAAAAUUUAAGGGUAUCAACACAGUUUUCCUUAAUUUUUUUUUUAAAUGGACACCCUGCAAUACCAUGUAAAUCCGCCUCUGUACAUGGGAAAAAGCAUAACCCCUCCAAUUCCUUCAACUUGUCCUCAAAUUCAUCAACUUCUGCUAAUUGGUUCCUAUCAAGCCAUUUAACAGUCUCAUUAAUGGCCUUCUUGAUCUUCUGCUUGUCUGCCGGGUCAAGUUUUCCAACAAACUUCUCAUCUUUCACGGUUUUCCUCGUAUUGUAUGCGUAGUUCUCAAGGGCAUUCUUGGCCUCCAGCUUUUUCACAUCCUCAUCCUCUACCUUGUAUCUCUUUGCCUCUUACACCAUUCUUUACUUGGUCAUUCCAAAAAAAAAAAAAAUUCUUGCUUUGACAAUUAAAACCUCAUUGUUUACAAAGUUAUCAACAAAAAGGAAUCAAUAUUUUAAAAGUAAUUUGUUAUUCAGUAUAUCAAAUUUGUUCUCUAUCUAUUUUUAUAGACCAUGAAAAGCAAUGGGAAAGUACCACUAGGCAAUCUUCCAUGGUGAAAUUACGAGACAAUUUUCAUGUACAAUGCUAAAAGUUAUCGAGCAGGAAAAGGACAAUUCUUUCUUCUUUUUAUUGGUAGGUAUAAUAAAACAUUUCCCAUUUGUAAGCUACGAAUGCAUUAUUGUUACUAAACUUGGUAACAAAAAACUCAUUUCACAAAGGUGAUAAGUUGCUUUUCAAAAAUUCUUAAAAAGUUUUGAACUCUGCAUAGUUCCAAUCUGAAUAUUUAUACACAAACUGAAUCAACAAAGAAACUUAAUAUUGUUAUCAUCUUAUUGCGCGCUUUAUAUUCUCAUAUUUACUUCUAGACAGGUCAUAACCAUCUAAAAAUUAAGGGUCCAGCCAGUCGAGUUUACUCAUAACUUGAUGCCUCAAUGGAGUUCCAAGAAGGAAAUAUAGUGCCAACCGGAAGUCAACAAGAAAAAAUUGCACAAAAACUGCCAAAGAGCAUAUUCUAAUAAAUAAGAGGAUAAAGAAUGAUUAUACCUUUCACAUAGCUGAAAGCUUUUACAAAGACCGCAAAACCAUCGCCAUCCGGAUAAUAUAGGUCUAUGGCAACAUAUGCAGACAAACUGCAAGUGGGCAAUGAUAGAGUCAUCCUUAAUAGGUAGAAUAUUUUGGCCCAGCUACCAAAAGAAACAAUGAAAUCAAAUAUUAAGUGACUAUCAUAGUUACAUAAAAAAGGAUUCAAUAAAUAACUAAACAGAUCUAAAAUAUCAUGCUUUCAUAAUUACAUCUACCGCAUGUAAUUCCUUUAUCUAAUUCCAGUGUGCUUAAAGGAAUAGUCAAAAAAAUAAAGCUCCUUCCAUAGCAUGAAGGGAAUCGGCCAAAGAAUGUGUCAAGAUAAGCUAACAAAAUAUCAACUAAUUGGUUCGUGAUGGUGGCAGUUAAGGGUCAAAAAACUAUAUGAAAGAGUGUAAAAUUUGGCAUGUCUCCUUCUGAAUGGGUAUCUACACCCCCACCUCAAACACCCCAAAAAAAGAAAAGUUAAACUGUAAAAUUUAAUCCAUUUCUUGGCGCAAAUAAUACCGACUACAAAAACUGAAAGAAAGUGAUCUAUCAAAUUCAUUCAUGCUUAGGCUUGAACAUUUAACUAUAAAAGCUACAGCUAACUCCACAAGGUUCAUCAAUUUAUCCAUGGUUUUAAAAUAAACUAUUUUUAAAGACCAUGGUUUUUAAAACUCAGAGGCUACAACGAAAGAAAAAAUAAACCUAAAUGGGCGGAAACUCAUACGCUAAGUUUUCAUUGAAGCAUUCUAUUGAACAAGUAACAAGCAUCAUAUAAAAUGCCUUAAUUAGAUGUGGCAAAAAAUUGCAGAAAGGAUGCAAAGUACCAACAGCAAAAACUAAAGAUCUAUUCAAUACCAGUGAAUCAGUUACUAUUAUAAAAAAUUGAACAUUAUAAAUAAAAGAAAAAAAAAACACUAAUGACUUAAAGUAAUGGUAGAGGAUUACAGAGAAUUAAUACAUGGCACGAGAAUGUGAGAAUAUGCAAUCAUUAAUCUAUUCAAUACCUUGAAGUAAUUCUCCACAAAAGUGGGAUUCCCAAGAGUUGAAUGCUGCUUAUAAUGUGAUUGCCAAACUAGCGGCUACUAACAGAAGUAGAGGUUGUACCGGGCAAGACUGAAGUCUGCUUCAGCAAUUUCCUAUUUCACUUUCUGAAGCUGCAGAAGGUGAAAUAAGAAAUUGUCAUCUCCGAAGGGCAUGGGCAUUUAAUCUGAAACAGAAGCAGAGAGGCUUAAAGAGAGAUAGCAAAAGUUUGGGAGUUGCAUGAUUAGAAAACUAAGAACAGAGUGAGAAUUGAGGGACUGUGAUAGAGAAAAGGUCUGAGAAGGAAGGUUGAGAGAGAGUUUCUAAGUCAAAAGUAUUGCCUAUAUACUUGUACAGCUUGAUUACAAAGGUUCCAACUAAUGGUAGAAAAUUUUUUUUCUAAACAGAAUUAUAAUUAGUAUAUAUGCAUCAAAUAAUCUGAAUAUCAUUUGAGGCUUGCUAACAGUAAAUUAAUCAAAAAAUUUGGGAUUAAGAUCAACUUUAUCACUAUAUUUUGACUUAAUAUUAAAUUUUGUCAUUAUACCAUCAAUUCGUUGAUUUUUGGACAACGUCCUCUUCAAUUUCUUCAGUUUGCCUGAUGGCUUCAUUGACAUCAUCUUGCAAACGCCCUUGUGCCACAGUCUCUUUCCUGAGGUCUUUAACAUUACUUAGACAAAAUUUUAAAAUUAAAAUAAAGAGUUAUUAUUAAUUUUUUUAUUAAGUAUGAUCGAUCACCUAAAUAAUAUUUUUUAAUAAAAUUUUAAUUUAAUUAAAACUCAUUAAAAAGAUUUUUUUUUUGUAAAAACACAUUUAAGUUCAGAAAUAUGGUUAUGUGUGGAGAAAUAUUAACACUCCACAAUACUCGUUAAAAAAUAGUACCAAUUAAUAACAUGUUAUCUUUUAUUAUUUAUAACAAAUUACCUUAAUUUUAAAAUUAAAAUUUUUUUUUUAAAUCCCAUUUAUUAUCAUAAAACUCCUUUUUUUGCCAUCCUUUAUAGAAUUAUUUUAAAACUUCUAAUUUAAUUAAAACAUAUUAAAAAAUCUUUUUGGUAUCAAAAACACAUUUAGAUUAAAUAGUACAAUUACGUAUGAGAAAUGAUUAAUACCUUACAAUACCUAUUAAAAAAUGAUACUAAUUAAUAACAUGUUAUCCUUUAUUAUUAAUAAAAAAUGACUUUAAUUUUAAAUUUCAAAAAUAAUUUCUUGAAUCCAUUUAUUAUAAUAAAACCCUUUGUUUCCAUCCAUUUUAGAAUCACUUUAUUUAGAAAUAAAAUGAAAAUUUUUGUUUUGAAUUUCUCAAUAUCUUGGUAAAAUUUAGAAAAAUAUUUUUCACUUGGUUAUUUUUAUGAUAAUCCUUAAAAUCAAAGAUAAUAUUUUUUUUCAUAAGGAAUAAUUAUUGAGAAUGCCUUCAAUAUUUAGGUAGGAUCUCAAGAAAUAUUUUAUUUAGGAUAUUAUCUUAUUUUAUUUAUAAAAACUAUUUUCUUUUUUAAAAUCAUCUGACUACUUUCUAUAUUUUUUGAGAAUAGCAAAAUGUAUGUUACGUAACAUAAAACAAAUUAAUGAUGAAAAAUAUAAACUAAAAGAUACAAAUAACCAAUUUAAUUCAACUUAUAAAUCUUUCACUUUAUCACUUUUUAUUUUUUCAUUGUCGUUUUUUUUUUAAAUAUUUAGUGAUAAAAUGAAAAUAUUUUUGUGUUUUUGGAAGUAACCUUUGUGCAUUAUCAACAUUAUAAUAUUUAUAAAUCCGAUAAUAUUAAAUUUUUAAAUUCAAUUCUCAUCAUAUAUGGAUUUCAUUUAUUUUUUUAUUAAAUUUAUUUAAUUAUGUGUCGAUUUAUUUGUUUGAUUUAAAUCAAAGAUUUUCUUAUAGGACUAUAAUACUUUCUGAUACUAUUAAGUUCAUAAAAAAUUUUAUAACUAAAAAAUUUCCCAAAAUUUCCAUUGGCAUGCAUUUUUUUUUUUUUUUUGGAAUUCUUGGACGCUUUGCAACGAGACUAGCAUUUUUUUUCUUUAUAAUAACUGGAAAAAGUCAUAUAAAAUCCAAAAUAGAAAUAAAGAGAAUAACUUUCUGGUUUUAAUUAGAAAUAUAAAACUAGAAAUUAAAAAUCCCCUCUCCCCAUGACUCAUAUACCAUAAUCACUGCUUAUGAUAAGCAUGGUUAAUGGAAUUUUUUUUAAUUAUAUUAAGAAAAAAUGAAAAUGAAAAGAAUAAAAAAAAAUAAGUAUGUAAGCGUUAAGCGGUUAGUUAUACAUUAUUGGCCUAAAAUACAAAUGGUUUGUAUUUUGAUUUUUUGUCUAUGGAAAUGCAUUUUUCAUAAUAAAUAAAUAAAUAAAUGUAGUAAUCAAAUAAUUCAAAAUUUAAAACUAGAGAAAAUGUUCACAUGUAUGCAAAUGCAUUUUCAUUAAUUAAUUUCAUUUCACGUUGUUUAAAAAAAUGAUAUUUAAUAUAUGGCUGGAUCAAGACAUGAGCAUAUGGAUGAAAUAUGGCCAAUCUUGAAUUAAUUAACAAAUCAAAGAAAAUGUAUUUACAUCGCUGACAUCAAUAAAAACUAAAUGAAAAUAUAAUAAAAAAGAAGGCCAAAACCUUUUGUCCUUUUUCAGAAUGAUGCACCUUCCAACAAUAUUUUAUCCCUUGGUCUAUGAGGAAAGUGAUGGCCUUGGAGUGCUAUGUUGUCUUCUUCCAAAUGAACCACCCAAAAAUUCCCAUUAAUUAGAUGAAUUAUAAAAAAUCUUAAAGAUCUCAGCAGAAUUUAAUAAAUUAUAUAACCUAAAAGUUGAACUACAUAAUAGUAUUUUUGCCAUUUACAUGUUUUGAUUUGGUUUAUAUUUUUAGUUUUCCUUUUUAAAUGUCAUGAAUUCAUCAUCAUUAUUGCAUGAUAUAUAUCUUUUGGUAUUAUUGUUGGGGCUGCUUCUGCAAAAUUUGCCACAACUUAAAGCAAAAAAUCUCCACAAAGUAUAUUGUAUGUAAAUUUGUGGUAUAAUUAACUUCAAAUUCAGUUUGAUUCAUUAUAUUUUAAGAUAUCGGUAUGGGUUUUGAUUUUUUUGAAUAUUUUACUGUUUAUAUGUAUAUAUAUAGGAUACUUUGAUUUUCAAAAUUAAUAUAAAAAAUUAUCAAAACAAAAUUUAUUCAUAUUUGACGAGUCCAUAUAACAUAGUGUAUAAAUAAUUUAUCAUUGAGUUAAUUAUCAAAUCACCACAAUAAAAACAAGCAUGGAAAACUAUCUAUGACAUGCAAGUAGACAUAACUAUGUAUUACUCAUCCAUAUCCAUUCAAGCUGCUACAAGGAACUAAAGAACCGGCAAACCAAACUGAACACAAAAAAAAUCAUGUUUCUUAAGAGUACUUGAAUUUUGCCACCAAUCUCUUGGCCAAGUGAUAAGAAGAGGAUUUAUGAAAUAUGUAAGCUUGAGUUCCAAUCCAAAUAUUAAAAAAAAAUACAUGAAGUUUUUCUUAAAUGAAUGGCUAAAUAUGGUUUUAUUUCACAAUAUCAAACAAACAAAUGCAAUGCAACAUAGAGUAAAUUACUUCUUCAUUGCAAAGUAAAGCUAAAAAAGCAGGCAUCAAAUUAGUUGAUGGCACCAUAAAAUAGAAAGCUCAAAUGAUGACAGAGCACAAUCAAGUAUCAACCACCUAUCACUGAGGCAAAGAAUCAAUAAGAAUUUAAACAAGAAACUUGAUUGAGGAAAUCAUAAAUACAUGAACAGUGAUUAAUUCAAGAUUUUUGUGGGGAAAUGUUCACUCAUAAUAUAUACUAUUGUUAUCCAUUUUAGUAUAACCAAAGUCUCAUGCUUUGUAAGUUAUAAACAACUUUCUCUUAAGAACACAAUGAUAUGUCACUCCUAUGUUAACCAUACACUCAAUGUCGAGAUUACCAAUAUAAUUACAAUUACCCUGUGUACAAAUUAAAAUAACUGAAUCACUGUCUAAAUUCACUACUGUAACAUUACCAUCAUCUAAAUUUUUGCUUUUAUCAUCUUUCCUCUCUUGCUUCAAGAUUUUGCAGUAUCACUUUAUAUGACCUACUUUACCACAAUAGAAGCACUUCACUUUAUCUGUGGACUUGAAUCUAUGUUUAGACUUAUUACGGCCUUUUGAGUUUUGAUUUUUGUCAAUAUUUCUACAUCUGUUUUCUAUGACAAAAGUUUGAUUCAAGGGUCUGAGUCCUUUUGCAUUGCUUCUUCAUUAAGCAUACUGUCUUUUAUCAUCUCCAAUGUCACAUUGUAAUUAGGAUCUGAAUUAAGAACAAUCAUAACUAGAGUAUUCCUGUUGUCUGGCUAUGAACCCAAAAGAAACAAUGCCUUUAUUUUAUCAUCCAUCUUAACCUCUAUGGUAGUCAUCUGAUUAAAUAUAUUUUGAAAAUCACUUAAGUACUCUGUAAUUUAUCGUUCAUCCUUUUAUUAUAAAGUUGCAAGCUUUUUAAUAUGCAUAAUUUUAUUCAUGCCUAUUUUUCUUUCAUACAACGCUGUUAAUUUUUUCAAACAGUGUGAGCAUAUUCUCCUGUGCUACAUAAUAGAACACGUUGAUAUCAACUCAUUUUUUUAUUGUGGCCAGUGCUUAACUUUUUUCAUCUUUCGUAGCUGUUAGUUUAGCCAGAUCACCUAAUAUCAACUCAUACAAAUCUUUGUAGUAUAAAUGAUUUUCCAAAUUGAAUAAUUUGAUAUUGUCAAUUUUAUCAUGGAAAUUGUAUCACCCUUUAUGAUCUCAAAUAGAAUUUACUUCCAUCCUAAGUUGCUUCUGUAUUGAUGUCUAAAAAAUAACCUUCGCUCUGAUAUCACUUGUUGGGCCUAAAGUGACAAACACAACAAUGCAAAAGCAAUAUAUCAUAAUAAACCCAUAGCAAUACACAAUAAUCAAUAAUCAACAAUACAAGGAAAAUAAAAGCAUAUCAAGAUUUAUAUGAAAAACCUUCUAGUGUAGAGGAAAACAAUCACAGAUCAUCAAAAAAAUCUUCACUAUCAAAUAAUAGAUAUACAAAGUUCUCCUCUAAUCAAAACUAGAACUAAUCAACAACUAAAAAGAUAAUUGAAAAAAUCUCAUCAAAUAGGUGACUCAAUAAAUACACCCUAGAUUUAAUCCUAGAAAAUUUCAAAUCCAACAUUCACCGUUCAGAACGUAAAACUCUAAAUCAUAAACUUGUUGACAAAAUUUUAGUUCAAUCAGACCACGAAUCAAUUUCUAUUCAAUCAACUCUCCCUUCUCUCUUUUCUCUCUAUUUUUUUUUUUUACUUUUCUUUUUUACUUAGUUUCGAUGCCACCACACAUUCUUUUCAAACCAAAAACUACCUCACUUUUAUAUGUAGGAUUUUAUUUCAUGGUCAAAGGCCACAAAACUUUAUGCCUUUUAAUUGGCUAAUCAAUUAGGGCUGGAUCCCACAUAUUCCUAACAUCAACUACAUUGAUCAUAUCACGAAAGUUGAUUCACAUGUUGAUUUUGUAAAAAUAAAUCCUACUAAUGUAUUAAAAUUUUAUUGAUUUGAAAAUAAAUUUAAGAAAAAUUUUCCUUGAAAUUAAAUUGUUUUGAAAAUGUUAGAAAAAAAAAGUUAAAAUAUCAAUUUUUUUAAAAUAAAAUUUUGAACGAUUAGAAAAAAUUUGAGAUAUCAAUUUUUUUUUUAAUUUUGAAAUUUAGAGAAACUUAAAAACAAUUUUCAAAACAAAAAUUGUUUUGAGAUAUUUUUUAGAUGUUUUUAAGACUUAAUGAAUAGAACAAAAUCAAUUGGUAUUAUUUUUUGAAUGGACGUUGUAAGAGUAUUAUAUUUUUUUUCCACAUAAUCGUACACUUGAAUCUAAUCUAGUUUCAUAGAAUAUAGUUUAUUCUUUUAAAAAACCUAAGUUGAGUUUAAAAAAUUUUUAAAAAGAAAUAAAUUUGAUUAAGUUAUCAAUCACUCUUAAAUAAAAAAUUAAUGACAAUUCUAUGAUUUUAUAUUUAAUAAUUAAAUUUACCUACUUAUACCUUAUAAUAAAUAUACCUAAAAAAAAUGAACUUUCAAGAUCCAAGAUGGAGUUUUUAUUUCCAUAAAAAAAGUUUUGGAAUUAAAAGAAAACUGAAGUAAAAAUCAACUUUGCUUCACAUGACACAAAUAAAGGGAAAUUCUGCUUAAAAUCAUGUGACCAAUUGAAACUACAAAGAAAUGUUGCAUCAAAAACUUCUUUAAUUUUUUGGAUUGUAAAUAUUAUCAUUUUCCUUGUUCAAAUCCUUCAUGGAAGACAACUAGACAAUGGCCCAGGCUUCUUAUCCUUUACUUGGGAGUUGGGAGCAAUGACUUUAAUUCACACGUAUAUUAUUAUUUUUUUGCACGUUAGAAAUUUUGAAGGAAACUGAUCUAUCAUUUAUCUGAAUUGCCAGAGUUAAUAAUUCACAGCUGUCAUUUGGUAGGACAUAGCAUCAUUGAUGCACUUUUGAGUUAUUGACCCUUUUUUUUUCAAUUAUUUUUCUGCAUUUUUAUAAUAUUUUUGGUUGGCCUUCGUAGAUAAAUCUAUUCAAGAAUAGAAUUAAAUUAUUAAUCUCUUUAUUUUUUAAUUUUUUCUGUAUUUUUAAAAAAAAUUUUUUUGGUUUUCAAGAAUGAAAUUAUUCAUUCACGUCUGAAAAUUAAUUCAAAAUUUAGAGGCAUUUAAGCAUAAAUAUUAAGUUUGCCAAAUGGAUCAAACUUAAAUUGAAGGUUCACUUAAAAAAUGGAUAAGCUUUGGGAAAAACAUUAAUGGUUUAAGCUUAACUUUAUAGUUUUUAUAUAUUAGUCCGAUUUGAUAGUUACUUAUAUAUAUUAUUUAUAAUUAAAUUAUAUAAAAAUAAAUAAAUAAAUAAUAUACAUGCAUAUUAAUUUUUUAUACCUACAUGUAUCGAUUUCAAUCAAAUAUUAAAUUAAAUUAAUAAAAUUAUUUUUAAAAUUUUAUUUUGUUAUAAUUAAUAUUUAUUAUAAAAUUUAUUUUUAUUUAAAAAAAUUAAAAUCAAAACCCAAUUUUUGAUCUGAGCUUAAUAAUUCUAACACUUAUUAUUAAUAUGUUUAAGCUCAAUCCUAAUUCGAUCUCAUCAUAAAAAUUUUUAUCAUAAAUAAACAUCCGUUACAUCACUUUAUUUUUUAGUAAUGUUAUAUAGUAAUUAAAUAUUCAUUUUAAUUAUAGUACAAGGACAAAUUUUAUAAUUCGACAUUUCCUUUUUGUAUAGGACUAAAUAUCAUUUCAUUAUAUCUGUAAGCACCACUAAAUUGUCACCUGCAAUUACAAUCUCAACUCUUAUUAAUAUAUCAAGUCAAAUGAAUGCGCAAGGUCAUAUCUAUUGGUAGAAAAGUUUUUCUAAACACAAUUAGUAUAUAUGCGUCAAAUAUUUCAUAAAUAAAUUUUUUUCUGUAUCUAAAUACCAUUUGAGGUUUGCUAAUAGUAAAUUUAUUAAAAACGUUGAGAUUAAAGUCAAAUUUGUCUGAAUAUUAUGGUUUAACACUUCCGCCCAAAAAUAAUUGUAUGUUAUUGAUUUCCGUUUAAAUUUAUUCAAUUUUGAUCUUCAUUUUUUAAAAUAUUAUAUUGAAUUAAAAUUUUAAAAAAUAUAUUUUGACAAUUUUGAAAUUCAAAAUUUACAAAUCUUAUUUUUAAAAUUUUUUUAAUUUUACAAUUUUAUAAAAAAUAAUAAUAAUAAAUGAGUUAAUUUAACGAAAAAAUCAAUUAGAGACGAUUAUUUGGAGAUGGAAGAAUAUUAAAAUUUAUCAUUACAAUUUUAGUUUGUUAAUUUUUAUACUAAAAAUAAUAGAAUUAAAAUAUUUACAAAAUAUUUCAUUAAUGCAAGUGAUAAAUAUUUUUUGAGUUCAAAGAAGUAAAAACCAACUUAGCUUCUAAUGAAAACAAGCUUCAACUAUCCACAAAUAUCGAAAAAUCUACUUGAAAUCUCAGUGACCAAUUGAAACUACAGAGAAAAGUUGCAUCAAAGACUUAUUUAUUUUCUUUAAUUUCUUUGGAGUCUCUUUUAUUAUGACUAUUACCAUCUUUCUUAUUCAAAUCCUUAGUGUAAUACAGCUAGAAAGGGCUUGCCAAACAUACUUCUUAGUCCUGGAAGCUUUAAGAUUAUCAAAUUUUAAAUCUUAAUUAUUAAAAUAAAAAAUUUAUCAUUCUAUCAAUAAAUCAUACUGUUGAUUGAUCCCUUUAUUUUUUUUCCCUCUUUUUUUUAUCAAAUUUUCUUUUGUAUUUGUUAUGAAACUCCACUGCUUAAGUGAUUUAUUAGAAUUAAAAUCUUAUAAUAAGAUUUUAUAUCUUUUAUAAGGUAACAAUUAUUUGAUAAUUAAUAGUUAUACAUAGAUUUUUCACACAAAUGCAGAAUUCCCCAUCUCAACUCUCUAACCAUUUACUCUUUUCCGUUCUUAAAAUACAUGGACUCAGUGUUAGGGAAUGGAAUUUUCAUGAAACCACUAAGAGUAAAACCAAUGAAUGAUGAAGGAGAUCUAACAUCCAUAAUGUAGGGAGAACCAUUACCUUCUCUUCCAUGGCACAACCUUCUUGAUCAUUACUUGCUCUAGUUCAGAAGCACCAUCUACCAUAUUUUUUCCAAGUAUGGUGGAGCAACACUAACUGGAAAGACACUUUUCAGCCAAUUGAACCUUCGGAUUUUGAUUUCAUGUAGUGAACAGAAGCAUAUAGGUUGAAAAUGACCUAUUGAUGAUGAUGAUGGCGGCGACCACGAUGAUGACAUUUUAUCUCUUCCAUUACUAUCAUCAUUGGCAACGAUUUGCUCCAAAUCCUCACAUUCCCAAACACUCAUAUACUUCAGUUUUGGCAGAUUUCAAGCAAGGGUGAGUGAGAAAACUUUUUCAAUCUCUUAAAAUUGGACGGCUGGAAAAUUUAGGAAUUGUUUCCCUUGUGUUUUAAAUUGAUUGCAAUUCUAGUUCUCUUUGAAGACUUUACUUCUUUAAAAACAAUAUUCCAUUUCAUUAGAUCUGUAAGCAACACUAAGUUGCCACCUGCAAUUACAAUCCCAACACUCCCAACCCUCACAUGCCACACCUAUCCUUUAAUUUUUUCUGUCAUUUUCUUUAGACAAAGAAAAGAAACAAGACCAAGUCAAACGUAUUGCCUAUAUACUUUACAGCUUGAUUACAAAGGUUCCAACUAAUGGUAGAAAAUUUUUUUCCUAAACAGAAUUAUAAUUAGUAUAUAUGCAUCAAAUACUCCGAAUAUCAUUUGAGGCUUGCUAACAGUAAAUUAAUCAAAAACUUUGGGAUUAAGAUCAAAUUUGUCACUACAUUUUGAUUUAAUACUAAAUUUUGUCACUAUACCAUCAAUUCGUUGAUUUUUGGACAACAUCCUCUUCAAUUUCUUCAGUUUGCCUGAUGGCUUCAUUGACAUCAUGUUGCAAACGCCCUUGUGCCACUGUCUCUUUCCUGAGGUCUUUAACAUUACUGGCAAAACAAAAAACAUAACUAAGAUGAGGAAUUGCUGGUGCCACCAGAAGCAGAGGCGGAUCCAUGCUUUGAAAUAGGGUGUCCAUGGAUUGGAAAACAAGAUUGCUUGACAGAAAAACAUUUCUUGCACACCUCCAAAUUUUUCUGUGGCCACCUUUUCAAUCAGCAAAAUAGAUAAAUCCAUAAUUUAUAUAUAUAUAUAUAUAUAUUAUAAGUGGACACUCUCGAAAAAAAAAAUUUGGAUUCACCACAAAUGUCACAGAUAGACCAGUAUUAGCCAUGCCUGAGAAUAUGAAAUUUAGAAGACAUGCUGAGUUAGUACAUGGAAUAUCAUUGACAAAUCAAUAAUUGAAGGAGAACCUCUGAAACUUCUCUGAGCACCUGAACUCUUAGCAGUUCCUAUCUGAAACUGCCCACAACAGGUGAACAAGUCACCGAUAAAUCAACUUGAUAUCUAGAGGGGGAAAGAAAACAGAGCCUUCAUAUUUAACCACUAUUUCUGUAUCUGCAAUAGAAUUAAGACAGAACCAUGUAGUUAGACAAAAUCAUAGUUUUUACAGAAAGCUCAAUUAACAUAGAACCAUAGUUUUUUAGAAAGCUCUCAGCAAAAUCAUUUCUUCCCUAGUUCCUACAUGUUAUUAUCCUUUGACCAGAACUCACAAUUGAUGCCCCUUUUACAAAAACUUUUGAAUUUUAAAAUGGAAAAUAGAGGGAAAAUGGUUUUCUCAAACAAUGAUAUACAGAAAUCAACAUCUACCCUUUGCAGAAACUGUCAUAACGUCUAGAUCCGGGGAUCUAUCGCUAGACAUUGACUUGAAGGAGUCGCCACCAAUCUUUUUUAUCUAUGCACGAUUGGCCACCUAAAGAAUCUAUCCUUUCAGGGAACACCUAAGUUUAAGGGUCCCUAAAAGAAUAGGUUUGGGUCUACUAACCAAAACAGGGUUCGGGAGUUCGGUUACGCGUGAGGAAGGUUAUAGCACCCUCACAACACCCAUCGAAAGAUGAUACCAGCUUAAUUUUGCGUUAUCAAAUAAACCUUAAAAAUUUACCAAGUAAUUAGUUGUUGGAAAUUAUUCUCAAUUGACUCUAAUACUUUAAGCAGAAAAUUGAGAAAAUCCCCUCACCUCAAGAGUAUGCAAGAAAACUACUGUUUCACUUGCAAAGGCUUCAUCGUCGGAUUAUUUAAAAAGAAAAUAAAAAGGAAGAAGAAAAAAAUGACUGCCUUUGUGCAGGAAAAAUUAAUACUUUCAACUUUUCCCCAAAAUAUUUUUUAGAAAUUUUAAUUUUGAGGAAAAUUGAUACUUUUAACUUUUCCUCAAAAACCGUUUUUGAAAAUUUAUUUUUAAGGAAAAUUGAUACUUUCUUUCAACUUUUCCCCAAAAAUAUUUUUUGGAAAACUUUAAUUUCGAGGAAAAUUGAUACUUUCAACUUUUCUUCAAAAAAAACCUUUUUUGAAAAUUUAUUUUUAAGAAAAAUUCAUACUUUAACUUUUCCCCAAAAAAUGUUUUUUUGAAAACUUUAAUUUUGAGGAAAAUUGAUACUUUCAACUUUUCCUCAAAAAAAACCGUUUUUGAAAAUUUAUUUUUAAGGAAAAUUGAUACUUUCAACUUUUCCUCAAAAACCUUUUUUUGAAAACUUAUAUUUAAGAAAAAUUGAUACUUUCAACUUUUCCCUAAAAAUAUUUUUUGGAAAGCUUAUUUUCAAGGAAAAUUGAUACUUUCAACUUUUCCCCCAAAAUAUUUUUUUUGGAUUUUAUUUAAAGAAAAUAAAAUAAUAAAAUAAAAUCAAAGUGAAAAAAAAAAUAAAGAAAAGUAAAAUAAAAAUAAAAAUAAAAUAAAGAUAAAAAUAAAAGAAUAUUAACCAAAUCUAAUAAUAAUAAUAAUAAUAAUAAUAAUAAUAAUAAUAAAUAUAUAAAUAUAUAAAAAAAAAAAACCUGGAACGGCUCGGCUAACGGCUUGGCUCGGCUCGGUUUAAGGAAAAAAAAUAGCUUGGAGAUGUGGCUCGGCUCGGCUCAGCUCGAGAAAUGGCUUGCACUCGGGUUGAACGCGAGUCGAAAGUGGGUCGACACUUAGGUCGGGUUGGAUCUUGGCAAAACGCGCGGAUCCUCUGGGUUACUUAACGCAGAAACAGCGUCGUUUUGGGGAGGGUAUAUAAGGCUGAAGGUCGAUUUUUUUCUCAGAAUUCCUUCUCCUCUUCUCUCUCUUCCCUUCUUUCUUCUCUCUUUCUCUCUAAAACCCGAAGAACUUCGGUUAGAUAUUCAUCGAAUUCUAAAAAUUUUUGUCAGAAUCUGGGUUUUUCGUCAGAAGUUCAUUGAAAAGUUAGUCGGUUUCUGGAAAUUCUUGUCGAAAAUUGGGCAGUUGGUCAAAAAUUUAAACUUGGCCGGAAUAGUCACCAAAAAAUUCAACCUUCGCCGAAAAAUUCAACCAGAAUCUAAAAAUUUUCCAAAAAUUUCUAGAAAAAAAAAUUUGCAAAAAAUUCUCCAAAAUUUCCCACCAAUUCCUAGAGCUAUUCUAACGCCUCUAAACCUUUUUUCAGCUUUUAAACCUUAUCUGUGUGUCCUUCUUCUCUUUGUUCCAGUACCUAUUUAUAGGGAUUGAUCAGAAGAGUUUCUGAUCAAUCCUUAUUUCCCUUGGGAUUUGGAUUCAAUCUUUGAAUCCAAUCCCAACUCUGCCAGCCCCAAAUUCAUGCCAGAAUCUCAGCUGUUCCUAAUCCUAAACCUAAUCGGAUAAUCAAACAAAUUGACGAAAGAAAAGAAAAAAAAUAAAUAAAUAAUAUAAAAAAGAUAAUAUAUUAAUUAAUAGACAAACAAUAAUUAACAGAUAAAUAAUAACAUAUAAAUAUAUAAAUAAAUAUAUUAAUAUAUUAACAGAUAAAAACAUACAUUAAUAAUAGUAAUAAUAAAUAAAUAAAAUGAUAAAUACAUAAAAGAUAAAGAAAAGAAAAAAUAUAUAAUAUAAAAUAAAUAUAAAAUACAAAAUAAAAAAAAAAAUAAAGUGGACCAACCCAUUGGGACCAAGCCCAAUUGAUCCGGGCCUAGACCAAAUUGGGUGUCUACACCUGCCCCUCUUUGCACAUUUUUCUGUGAAAUAAAAAUUGCACAAAGACGUAGACACCCAUUCAAGACUCAACUCGACCCCUUUUUUUCUUUCAUUUUUUUUUAUGUUUAAGAUUUGAUCAAGGCUCCUCUAAGUAGAGGCUUAACGACUUUGAAAAACAUAAACAAUGCUCCUCUAAUUAGAGGCUCAACGACUUUGAAAAUGAAUAAAGCUCCUCUAAUCAGAGGCUCAACGACUUUGAAAAAUAAAUAAAGCUCCUCUAAUCAGAGGCUCAACGACUUUGGAUUGGAAAAUAACUGGCUCCUCUAACCAGAGGCUCUACGACUUUUGAAAAUAAAUGGCUCUUCUAAUCCGAGGCUCAACGACUUUUGAAAAAUAAAAGGCUCCUCUAAUCAAAGGCUCAACGACUUUGAAAAAUAAAUAAAUUCUCUAAGUAGAAGCACCAUGACUUCAAAAAUAAAUGCUCCUCUAAACAAAGGCACCAUAACUUUGAAAAGUAAAUUGCUCAUCUAAAUAGAGGCACCAUGACUUUGGAAAAAUAAAUGGCUCAUUAACAAUCAUGUCCAAAGGAGUUAUAGAUCGUGAUUGAAGAAAUUUUGUAAUGGGAACUCAAAGAUUCACAAUUUGAGUUCAACAUUCAUAGGUUCAGAUUCGCAAGAACCUUCUAACUUCGUAAGAAUUUACUGAAAUUUGAUUCUCAAAAUUUUAGUUUUGUUCAAAUUUGCAAGAUCUCAAGAUUUGCAUUUGUAACUUGCAAGACUCGUUUCAAAGAUCCUCAUUGGAAUUUUGGAGGCUCACAUCCAAAAGUUCAAGGCUUUUUAAAGGUUCGCAUUUGGCAAGCUUGGGAUUCACAUCCAAAAAUUCAAAGCUUCUCAUUUGAGUUCAAAGGCUCAGCAAUAAAACUUAGAGUUUCACAUCUAAGUUCAAAGGUUCUCAUCUAAAAAAUUUAGAGAUUCAUAUCCAAAAAGUUGAAGCUUUGUAUCUUGGAGAUUCACAUCCAAAAGUUUAAAACUUUUCAUUCUAGUUCGAAGAUUCACAUUCGACAAACUUUAGGGUUUCACUUCUCGAAGAUUCUCAUUUUGAAACUCAAAGAUUCUCAUUUGAGUUUUCAAAAAUUCUCAUCAAAAUAUUCAUAAUUUUUUUCAAGUGACUCAAAAAUUUGCAUAAAUGAAUGUUAUGACCAAAGAUGUAAAUGCCUUCUUCAUGAUGCAAAUACGGCAACCUAUAUUCUCAUAGUGCCAUGCAUGUCCCAACAAAGUUUAAUUCAUCAAAUUAUGUGCAUGUACUAUUCAAGUGACGAUGUCACUAUGAUGCAUGUAAUGCAGACGUCUAUGUAACAAAAUUCUAAAUAAUUGUGGUGAUAUGGCUCUCAAAACUCCACCAUUCCGCAUGUCUUCCUUGUUUAAUUUCUCAAUACUUCGAAACAAGUUUCAUCAAUCGAUCAUCACUUAACCACCAUUCAUGGACUUUUCAGCACUAACAAAUUUCAGAACAAGUUUCAUCCACCAUCACUGAGUCAUUACUCAUAGGCGUCUCAGCAUUAACCAUUUAGAACUAGGUCACACUCAUAGGUUUCUCAACCCUAACCAUUCCAAAACAAACUUUAACCACUGAUUAUUUUCAUCAUUCAAUCAUAACCUGUAAGUCAUGUCGACCAAUUCAUCCUUGUACUCAUCACUUGAUCAUCAUUCAUAAGCUUCUUAGCACCAGUUUCGUCUAUUGUUCCAUAUCAUUUUCAUCACUUAACCAUAACUCAUAGGUUAUAUCAACUAAUACAUCCUCAUAUUCAUCACUUGAUUAUACCACUUUUCAAGAUUUGCCCCAUUUUCAUUUUAUUGUCCAAUCCAUCAUCAUAUUCUUCAUUUGGUCACAUCAUAUGUCCUUUCAAAUUAUCUCUUUUAGGUUUCUACCAUUUCUUCAUUUUGUUACCACCAUAAUCUUAGAUUUUUUUUUGAAAUGAAUGCAAGACUCUUUUAAGCACAUAUUCAUUCAUUCAUUAUCAUUUCAAUUCUUGACAAAUAUAAUGCAAUCAAGUAUUUUCUCAAUUCAUUCUAGAGGUGUAACAAAUAAGAGAACACAAGGUGAAUUAUGGUAAAGAUAAUCAAUGAAGAUCUAUUUUGGUAGAAAACAAAUGGGAAAGGAAAUAAAUAGGAUACAUGUCAUUGGGCUGAAUGGUAUGUCCAAACGAUGAAUAUUCAAACAAUUCUCAACAUUAAUCUAGGAUUCUUUUUUAAAAACUCAUUCCAUUUACUGUUGAAGUCAUUUUGAGCUUGGCCAACUUUACCCCGUCUUUGAGGGAUCUUCAGAUAUCUUUGAUCUUCCAUCUAUGUGAACCAUUUGACCUAGAUCUGUUUCUACCAAAAUCACCAUUUCAGGUUUUCAAUUUGAAUCUUUUUUUUAUUUUCUCAUUUUUUCUUCUUUCUUUCUUUUUUUUCUCUAUUUUUUCUUUUUUUUAUCAUCUUUCUUUCUUUUUUCUCAUUUUUCAUCCAUUGUUGAUAUCUUUCACCCAUCAAACUUUAAGGCAAUGUAGCAUGAUUUCAUUAUUUCAUCAAGAGCAUGCCUUUGCCCAACAUAUAAUCAUUCAAGUUGAGCAUUCACACUUGAUCCAAAUAGGCUUUUCAAUGUUGUAAUGUAGGUCAAGGUAAGGGGUCAUAAAAGAAAUGGAUAUAAUAGGCUCAAAACAUAUAUUAAAAAGGUUCAAGACCAAAGGAUCAUUUGGUGUAACUUGGCAUUUUGCUCCCACAUCACUACUUUUCUUUUUCUCACACAAAGGAUUCUCAUUAUUUUACCCCAAAUCAUUUGUGGCGUUUAUUUUGUCUUUUGCUUUUCUUUCUCUUUCCAUCUUUGAGACCUCUUGUGAUAUUUUUUUUUAAAAAUUACCCUCCAGUGUAGAGGGUGAUAUUUGGUUAGGGUUCUUUAGAAAAGAAAUCAUAAUAGGCUCAAAAUGGUAGCAAUGAAUGGUUUUUCGAAUGGUCAAAGAAAUAUGGUCAUUUUUCAUUUCAAUUGUGAAUACUUUUCUUGAACAUCAUCUAUUGAACAAAACUCAUGAACCUGUACGAAAGAUUGCACAUCUUCAAGAUAUAUCUAUUUCACCUCUGGUAACAGCUUACUUUUUUGCUCAAAUCAUCUCUUUAUAUUAAUGUGGAUGAGUUCUCAAAAUUAAAUUCCAGAAUUAUUGUUAUCAUUGUCUUAAAUAUUCAUCAUUUGAAAUUUGAGAAUGAGAAUGUAAAGUUAUGAAAGGUAACAGAGCGUGGAAUAAUAGUCGAGUGAAAGAGAAAAUGUAAUGAAAUGCAUUAAGUUGCCUUUAUUAAAAUGAUAACAAGUGAAAUCAUAUUGCAAAAAAAAAUCUAACAUUACUAGAAAAGAAAUCCAAAAAUGAAAAAAAAAAACCUUCAACCAGCCUCAUCUCCAUUCUUCAAAAUUGUCCCCAUAUGUGAUCAGGUGAAGAAUCUCUAUUGACAUCUUACCCUUCAAUUCAUUGUGACUCUUUGAACCCUUUCUAACCAAUGUAUUCUUGACUUUCACUCAGAGUACUAACAUUAGGUGUUGUUGCUUUUCUUUGAUCAAAACUUACCAUUCUAUCAUUGAUCAACCGUUGCACCUUAUGCUUUAAAGCAGUGUAAUUUUUAGUAGAAUGGCUAGUAAUUCCAUAGUGGUAGUCGCAGUAGGCUGUAGGAUCAUACCACUUAGGAUAGAGUGGCUUAAGUGGCUCCACAUGGCUGGGGGCAAUCAAAUGGCUAUUAUAGAGUUAUCGAUAUAACUCCGUAUAAGUCAUGGGGAUUGGAUCAAAUACAAGCUUUUUUUGAGUAAUCUGUUGCUCUCGUGAACCACUUACUGGGUUAGUAGGAUGAAUUUGGGCUCUUGUAGGAGCUUGAAUGUUAUAUGUAAGAUCUUGAGGGCUAAAAAUUGAUCGGUAUGUAGAUGAAUAAGGUAGCUGUGAAACUAGCUAGUAUGGGUAGGAUGAGGCAUUAUUCACAGCAAGAUAGUACAGAGAGUAACCUUGGGGUGGAUAGGGUUGAUAACCCCUGAAUUAUUGUCUAUCAAAGCUCACAGCUUGAGUUUCAAUUUCUUUCUUCUGAUGCCUUCUUGGUUUCUCUUCCUUUUAACUUGUCAUUUUUUAUGGCACUUUCAAUAAUUUCUCUAGAGAUCACCAUGUCGGUGAAAUUCUUUGUUACAUUCCCUAUUAUCUUUUUAUAAUAGGAAGAUUUCAAAGUGCUGACAAAUAACACUGUAGUUUCUUUCUCAGUCAGAGGAGGCUGUACUUGAGAAGUAAUAUCCAUCCACCUUUGGGCAUACUCUUUAAAAGUCUCAUUAGCCUUUUUUUUCAGAUUUUGUAAAGACAAACGAUCAGGGGCCAAAUCCAUGAUAUGUCGAUAUUGACUGAUAAAAUCAUGGGUCAUGUCACUUCAGGAACGGAUGCAUGUUCUGUCUAACUGGAUAUACCACCUAACAGCAGAACCAGUAAGACUAUCUUGGAAAACAUGCAUUAGUAGCUUUUCGUCAUGAGCAUGGGAUACCAUCUUUCGACAAUACAUGGUAAUAUGAGUUUUUGGGCAUUUUAUACCAUCAUAUUUUUCAAAUUCUAGUACUUUGAACUUAGGAGGAAUGACCACAUCAGGAACUAAGCAAAGCCCAUCAGCAUCAACUGAACCAUAGAAACCAAUUUCUUUCACAGUCCGUAGCUUUUGUUGUAGCAUACUAAUUUUAAAGUUUUCUUGAGCUUUCACUUUUAUCUUUUCCUUGUCUUAUCCUUUCAGUUCAUCCAGAUCAGAGAUUUGAAUUGGUUCAACUGUCUUUUCAGUAAAGACAGGAUUCAUAUAGCUAUGAUAAUACCUUAGAUUAGAAGCUAAUGGCAUUCUAGGAUAUAUAGGAUAUGUGUAGUGUUGUGGUGGAACCUCUUGUGUAGACUGGGCUUGAAGUGGACCAAAACCAGGUGGAUAUAGGGGGUCAGUCACUUCUUGUGAUACAGGACCUUGUUGGCUUAUGUCCUCUUCUACUCUUUUCCCCUUAUUUAAUUUGUUGAGAGUAUCCAAAUUUUUACUUAACUCAUUCUCAAUCUUUUCCUGAGCUUUUUCUAAUUUUUCAAAUCUAUGAGAGUUUUUCUACUCCAUUUGUCUAGCUCUGACUCUUGUGUUAUAUCGAUGGGUGGGUUGCUUGGUGGGGUUAUCCUUGAACCUUUAGCACCAUAAUUAUGAUUAGAAAUGCUAUGCUAUGCUUCAUGUAUGAUACGUUGAUGCACGAAUGAAAUGUACAUUUUUAUGGAUAAAAUCUAAUAUGAAAUGGAUACAAAUAAUAAUGUUAAAACAUGAUCAUGCAGAUGCAUAAAAUCAGACAAACAACAUGGUUAGUUUUAUAGAUGAAAUGAAAGUGAUGCCGAUGCAUAAUGUUACAUAUGAUAAUGAAAAUGAUGCACAAAGUUAGACAAUCAAAAUGAUUAGGUAAACACCUUUUUUGUGUCCUAGUUUCAGGGUAUAUCUAUCAUUGGAUAGAAAUGGCUCUAUCUUAGGGUUAGGCACUUCUAAGGUUCACUAUAUGUGAUUCAAGGCUAAAGUCUAAAGGUUUUCAAAUUGCUCCUUACAUCAUUGUCCAUCACAGACUAGUAAGGCACCCUAAUCCUCACCCAUUACAGGCUACAAGUGGAAAAGGUUCAAUUUGAAUGGGAGUAUUUCGCUAGCCACUACGGAGGCAUUAAACCUCACGAAAGCAAUAGGUACUUUACUCUAUCCUAGAGGGAUAAAGCUCGGGUAUAGAACUCAUGUUAUGCAUAUGCAUAUGAAUGACAUACUUAAUAAAGUAAAUAAACAUGAAUGAAUAAAAAAAUCUAUACAAAAGGUUCAAUUUUAUUAGGCUCUUGGAUAACACAAAUUUAUUUGCUGGCCUAACUCUCAGAGUUCUCCAACAGAGUCGUCAAGCUGUCAUAAUAUCUAGAUCCAAGGAUCUAUCGCUAGACAUUGACUUGAAGGAGUCGCCACCAAUCUUUUUUAUCUAGGUGCGAUUGGCCACCUAAGGAAUCUAUCCUUUCAGGGAACACCUAAGUUUAAGGGUCCCUUAAAGAAUAGGUUCGAGUCUACUAACCAGAACAGGGUUCGGGAGUUCGAUUACAUAUGAGGAAGGUUAUAGCACCCUCACAAUGCCCAUCGAAAGAUGGUACCAGCUUAAUUUUACGUUAUCCAAUAAACCUUAAAAAUUUAUCAAGUAAUUAGUUGUUAAAAAUUAUUCUCAAUUGACUCUAAUACUUUUAGCAAAAAAUUGAGAAAAUUCCCUCACCUCAAGAGUAUGCAAGAAAACUACUGUUUCACUUGCAGAGGCUCCAUCGUCGAAUUAUUUAAAAAGAAAAUAAAAAGGAAGAAGAAAAAAAUGACUAUUUUUGUGCAGGAAAAAUUGAUACUUUCAACUUUUCCCCAAAAUAUUUUUUAGAAAUUUAAUUUCGAGGAAAAUUGAUACUUUCAACUUUUUCCCAAAAUAUUUUUGGAAACUUUAAUUUUGAAGAAAAUUGAUACUUUCAACUUUUCCUCAAAAACCUUUUUUGAAAAUUUAUUUUUAAGGAAAAUUGAUGCUUUCAACUUUUCCUUAAAAAAAACUUUUUUGAAAAUUUAUUUUUAAGGAAAAUUGAUACUUUCAACUUUUUCCCAAAAAUAUUUUUUUGGAAACUUUAAUUUCGAGGAAAAUUGAUACUUUCAACUUUUCCCUAAAAAUAUUUUUUAGAAAGUUUAUUUUCAAGGAAAAUUGAUACUUUCAACUUUUCCUCAAAAAACCUUUUUUGAAAACUUAUUUUUAAGGAAAAUUGAUACUUUCAACUUUUCCCCAAAAAUAUUUUUUUUGGAUUUUAUUUAAAAAAAAUAAAAUAAUAAAAUAAAAUAAAAGUGAAAAUAAAAAUAAAGAAAAGUAAAAUAAAAAUAAAAUAAAGAUAAAAAUAAAAGAAUAUUAAACAAAUCUCAUCUAAUAAUAAUAAUAAUAAUAAUAAUAAUAAUAAAAUAUAUAAAUAUAUAAAAAAAAUGAAAAAAAAAACCUUGGAACGGUUCGGCUAACGGCUUGGCUUGGCUCGACUUGAGGAAGAAAAGUGGCUCGGAGACGCGGCUCGACUAGGCUUGACUCGGCUCGGCUCGAGAAAUGGCUCGUACUCGGGUUGAACACUGGUUGAAAGUGGGUCAGCGCUUGGGUCGGGUCGGAUCUUGGUAAAAUGCGCGAAUCCUCUAAGUUACUUAACGCAGAAACGACGUCGUUUUGGAAGGGUAUAUAAGGCUGAAGGUCAAUUUUUUUCUCAGAAUCCCUUCUCCUUUUCUCUCCCUUCCCUUCUUUUUUCUCUCCCUUCUCUCUAAAACCCGAAGAACUUUGGUUGAAUAUUCACCGGAUUCUGGAAAAUUUCAUUAGAAUCUGGAUUUUUCGUCAAAAGUUCAUGGAAAAGUUGGUCGGUUUCUGAAAAUUCUUGUCGAAAACUGGGCAGGUAGCCGAAAAAUUCAAACUUGGCCAGAAUAGUCGUCGAAAAAUUCAACCUUCGCCCGAAAAAUUCAACCGAAAUCUGAAAAUAUUCCAGAAAUUUCCAAAAAAAAAUUUGCAAAAAAUUCUCCAAAAAUUUUUCACCAAUUCCUAGAGCUAUUCUAACGCCUCUAAACCUUUUUCCAGUUUUUAAACCUUCUCUGUGUGUCUUUCUUCUCUCUGUUCCAGUACCUAUUUAUAGGGAUUGAUCAGAAGAGUUUCUGAUCAAUCUUAAUUUCCCUUGGGAUUUAGAUUCAAUCUUUAAAUCCAAUCCCAACUCUGCCAGCUCCAAAUUCAUGCCAGAAUCUCAGCUGUUCCUAAUCCUAAUCCUAAUCGGAUAAUCAAAAAAAUUGAAGGAAGAAAAGAAAAAAUAAAUAAAUAAAUAAUAUAAAAAAGAUAAUAUAUUAAUUAAUAGAUAAAAAAUAAUUAACAGAUAAAUAAUAACAUAUAAAUAGAUAAAUAAAUAUAUAAAUAUAUUAACAGAUAAAAACAUACAUUAAUAAAUAGUAAUAAUAAAUAAAUAAAAUGAUAAAUACAUAAAAGAUAAAGAAAAGAAAAAAUAUAUAUAUAAUAUAAAAUACAAAAUAAAAAAACAAAGUAAUCUGAAAAGAUGAAGCAAAUUUUUGGAGCAUCCUUCGAGUUUUUGUCUAUUUUGUGAGCUUUAAACAGCCUUUACCACCAAUAAAAAUAGUUACAUAUGGAUCCAUUCAUUGAUGAAUGAGAAACAAACUAAUUUUCAGAUUAAAAAGAAAUGAUCUUAGUGGAGGUAAGUUAGCCAAAAUCAACACAAAAGUCAUAUUAGGAGAUAAGCAAUACUGAAGUUGAUCAUAGCAAUGCUUCGUUUCAUGUUGAAUAACAUAUUAAAUAAUAAUUUUAUUAGUAUAUAAUUAAAUAAAUAGUAAAUUAUAUAUUUUAUACUAGCUUUAGGCGAGUAGAGGCAGAGCAUUCUAAAUCUGUCUCCGUUUCCAACUCCAAUUAAAAAAAUCCACUCUUAUCAAAUUGUAACAGAUCGAAAUUUGUUGAUGGCUUGUUUUAUCAACUCAAAUUAUAUAGUCUUAAAAUUUUUAUAUUGCAAAAAAAUGAUGUGUAUUUAAUAUUUUCUAGUUAAUUAUUUAUUGGAUUGAUAUCAAUAAAUGAAAAAAAAAAAACCUUGCAAACUAUAUCUCCUAAUGGAUUUUUUAUUUCAAAAACUAAAUACAAUUGUAUAAUUAGUUUAUAUCUAUGGAGAGGGAUUCACUUACAUUAUUAUAAGUGUUACGUACGAUUUUUUAAUCCUUAUGUUAUAUAUUUUAAAUAUAUUUAAUUUUGAUAGAAAGAUAAAAGAAAAAUAUAAAACUUACUUAUAUCUACUCUCUAUCAAAACAGAAAAAUUCAUUUGUGGGGUUUCCUUUUCUAUUUUCCCCUCUUUUAAAAUGGUUGUGAAUCUUGUAUAAUAGAGUCCAAUAAUAGCCUAUCCCUCUUAUCGUUGAAAAAAAUAUAAAUUUCAUGGUCCUGCAUGGGCCCUUUUUCUGGUAAUGUAGAUUUUUUUUUUUGGUAUGAGUGUUCAAUAAUAUUAGAAUAUUUAUGGUACGAUGAAAUGGAAAUUUGUCAAAAUAAGCUUCCCCCCCCCCCCCCCCCCCCCCUUCUUUAAAGACUCAUAGGAAAGAGAUAAUUUAUCUUAUUAUUUCAAUCAAUAUAAAAGAUAUACAUACUAAUUACUUUUGUUAGAAUGUGACCUAUUUAUAAAUUUAAAAAAUGGCUUAUUCUAAAUUCUAAUUCUAAACCCCUUAAAGUCAAUUAACAAAACACUUAUAAGAUCAACAACAAAAUAAAGUUUCUAAAAAGUUGAGAAAAAAUAAUAUAGAAAGAUAAUUAAAGAAUUCAUUUUUAUACAUUGACACUGAAAUAUUUUAAUUCCACAAAAGAAGUUAACACAUUUUUCAUUUUUUUAUUUUUUAUUAUAUUUUAAAAUAAACUUGAUAAUUUUAAAUACGAUGCAAUUACACAAUAUAAAAAUGACAUAGAAUAAAUCAUGUAUGAGUUUAGUGUAAUCAUGUUUUGUGUCUUAAUCGUAUUAACAGAUUAAGACACGAUAUUAUUCGUGUUGUAUUCAUGUCAAAUAGUGAUGAGACGCUUAAAACACGUACUGUUUAUGCAAGCAUAUAUAACAUAAAAACUAUAAAAAAUUAUUUUAAUUUAUUUCUUAAAUAAAUUAAUAAUCAUAUUUAUUGUAUUGUUUUGAUGUUUAAAUAGAUUAUAAAUAUUUAAUUCUUAAAUAAUUUUUUAUUUAAAUACUAUUUUAAAUGAUUUUUUUAUUUAAAUUAAUAGACUAAUCAUGUCUAAUCGUGUUAUUCGUGUUUAAUCGUAUUAAUUAUGUCGUGUUGUGUUAUGUUACCUGAGUUGUAUUAAAUAAAUUAACUUUAAACAUAUUAAUCAUGUCGUGUCGCGUGUAACACAUAUAAUAAAUAUGUUUUAUUUGUGUUUAAGUUAUUUAUGUCAUUUAAAUAUUUAUGUUGUGUUCGUGUCAAAAUUAUUUAUGUUAUAUCUGAACUUAUGUUUGAUACGAAACAUGACACGAUGACACAAAUUAUUUGAUUUACCUUAAAAGUUAAUUUUUACCUUAAAGUUUAAAAACUUUACUGUUAAUGGAUGUGAUAAGUUUUCAUAAAUAAAUUCAUUUAACCAAAACUUCACUUGAAUAAUUUUAUCUAAAUCUUUUCCGUAGACAAUAAUGUAAUAUUAAUAGAAGUCACAUAUAUAUAUAUAUAAUUGUUCAAAAAGCCGAGUUUGAAUUUUUUUAGCUCAAAAUCCAAAACAUUUGUCCUCAAAGGCACAACUGAAUUACUAACAUUUUGUGUUUGUAAAACCAGCCUUGGAGCUUCACUGCUGAAGAGCCAAAGCUGUUCUUUACCUUUCAGUUUCUGCUUGUGUUUGAGCUGAGAAUGUAAAUGAAGAAGAACUGAAGAAUGAAAAUGGAGGCACCUCAUGGGAACAUUAUAUUUUGUUAAAAAAUUUCACGUGGCCUAAACAGAAUGAAAAGAAAGACUUGCCGGGUUUAGGUAAGCUUAUACAUAACUUGGAUUCAAUAUCUCGAAGUUCAAAAUCUUGCCCCAAUUCAAAGGCAUAUGCCCAACUUUUUCCACAUAAAAUAUUGAUUUUUUUUAAAGAUGUCAAUUUUAUCCAAAUCUAAUUAGAAAUUUGAUUUUUUUUACUUGAAUGAGAUGAAUAUGGAUAUUAAACUUUGAGAUGAGAAUGAGAUAGAUAUGAUUUUAAAUUUUUAUUGGAUACGAAAAUAGAGACGAAUAAUAUAGCAUUUGUUCUGUACUUAUUCUCAUACUUUAUAUAUAUAUAUAUAUUUAGUAAAUAAGUUUUUAUUUAAUAAUAUAAAUUUAUUUUAAAUUCAUUAAAAUUAAUAUAUUUCUAUUUAAAAAUAUAUUAUUAUAUAUUUAUAAAAAUUUAUGUGCUCAAAAUACAAAAUAAAAAAAAAACUAAAAAAUCUUGCCCCAAUUCAGGCUCGAUUCAAAAGCACAUGGCCAACUUUUUGCGCUGUAGACACCCAAUUUGGUCCAGGCCCGGAUCAAUUGGGCCUGGCCUAAAUGGGUAAGUCCAAUUGUAUCUUGGUUAUUAUUAUUAUUUUUUAUUUUAUGUAUAUCCUAUAUAUUUAUUAUUUAUUUAUUAUUACUAAUAUAUAUUUUUUAUUUUUAUCUUUUAUUUUAUUUAUUUUCGUAUUUUUAUAUAUCUGAUAUUAUUUUUUUAUUUAUCCUAUAAUAUUUUUUUGAUUUAUCUUUUCUAAUUAUCUAGUAUUUUUUUUUAUUUGAUUUUUGGAGGGCUAGGAUUGAAAGUGGAAGAAUCCCAUUGUGAAUGAGAAUUCAAUCAGAAGAGUCCAAUUGGAUUCAAAGAUUGAAUCCCCGUCCAAGGAGAAAUUGGGAUUGAUCAGGAACUCCUGAUCAACCCCUAUAAAAGGCACCUCUUGGAACAAGUUUGAACACACACAGAAAACAGUAAGCAAAGCUACUGAUUCGAGAGAAAAGGAGGCGUAUAGGAAGCUAAGAAAGGUUUAGGAGUGUUCUGGGAGCUAGCAGAAAUUUUUUUAAAUUUUUUGGCAAUUUUUCUUCCUGGGAAUUUCUGGAAAAUUUCAGAUUUCGGUGAAUUUUUCGGCGCAGUUUGAAUUUUUCGGCAAAAUUCCGGCCAACCUUGAAGUUUUAGGUGACCUGCCUAGUUUCCAGCGAAGAAUCCCAGAAACUAGCGAUCUUCAAGCCAAAUUCCAACGAACAUCCGGCGAAAUUUCCAGAUUCCGACGAGAUUUUCCAGAAUCCGACGAAAAUUCCACCGGUGUUCUUCGACCUUUUAGAGAGAAGGGAGAGAAAAAGGGAAGAAGAGAGAGAAAGGGGAGAAGAUUUUUGCCGAAAAAAAAAAUGGAACUGCCUUUUAUACCCUCCCAAAACAACGUCGUUUUGGCUUUAAGUAACCAGAGAAUCCGCGCGUUUUGCCGAACCCGACCCGAGCGUCGACCCGCUUUCUGACCCGCGCGUGCUGCCCCCUCCGAGCCAAGCCGAGCCGAGCCGAGCCUCCCAAGCCGCUCCCCCGAGCCGUUUUUCGCCCUCGAGCCGAGCCGAGCCGAGCCGAGCCGAGCCGAUAGCCGAGCCGCUCCAGGUUUUUUUUUCUUUUCUUUUUUUUUUCGAAAUUUUUUUAUUUAUUAGAUUAGAUUUAUUUAAUAUUUUUUAUCUUUAUCUUAUUUUUAUUUUUGUUUCACUUUUCUUUAUUUUUAUUUUUAUUUUCUUUAAAUAAAAUAUCAAAAUUUCCAAAAAAAAAAAUAUUUUUAGGGAAAAGUUGAAAGUAUCAAUUUUCCUUGAAAAUAAAUUUAAAAAAAAAAAAGAUUUUUAGGGAAAAGUUGAAAGUAUCAAUUUUCCUUGAAAAUAAAUUUCAAAAAAAGGAUUUUAGGGAAAAGUUGAAAGUAUCAAUUUUCCAAGUUGAAAGUAUCAAUUUUCCUUGAAAGUCAAAAUUUCCAAAAAAUAUUUUUAGGGAAAAGUUGAAAGUAUCAAUUUUCCUUGAAAAUCGAAAUUUCAAAAAAAAAUAUUCUUAAGGAAAAGUUGAAAGUAUCAAUUUUCCUUGAAAAUAAAUUUCAAAAAAAGGAUUUUAGGGAAAAGUUGAAAGUAUCAAUUUUCCUUGAAAAUCAAAAUUUCCAAAAAAAUAUUUUUGGGAAAAAGUUGAAAGUAUCAAUUUUCCUUAAAAAUAAAUUUUCAAAAAAGGAUUUUUGAGGAAAAGUUGAAAGUAUCAAUUUUUCUUGGAAAUCAAAGUUUCAAAAAAAAUAUUUUAGGGAAAAAUUGAAAGUAUCAAUUUUCCUUAAAAAUAAAUUUCUAAAAAAACAUUUUUGGGGAAAAGUUGAAAGUAUCAAUUUUUCCUACACAAAAAAAAAAUCAUUCUUUCCUUCCUUUCUAUUUUUAUUUUUAUUUUGAUUUUUCUUUAAAUAAUCCGACGACGGAGCAUCUGCAAGUGAAACAGUAGUUUUUCUUGCAUACUCUUGAGGUGAGGAAAUUUUCUCAAUUUUUUGCUAAAAGUAUUAGAGUCAAUUGAGAAUAAUUUCCAACAAUUAAUUACUUGGUAAAAUUUUAAGGCUUUUGGAUAACACAAAUUUAAGCUGGUACCAUCUUUUGAUGGGCGUUGUGAGGGUGCUAUAACUUUCCUCACACGUAACCGAACUCCCGAACCCUGUUCUAGUUAGUAGACCUGAACCUAUUCUUUUAGGGACCCUUAAACUUAAGCGUUCCCUGGAAGGACAGAUUCUUUAGGUGGCCAAUCGCACCUAGAUAAAAAAGAUUGGUGGCGACUCCCUAAAAGUCAAUGUCUAGCGAUAGAUCCCCGGAUCUAGACAUUAUGACAUGCGCUAAAAUGUUUCUUUUUUUUUUUUUUUGGAGAGGUCAAUUUUAUACAAAUUCGAUAAAAGAUUUAAUUUUUUACUUGAAUGAAGAUAGAAAAAGGUAAUAAAUUUUUGAAUGAUAAUAUAUGUAUAGUUUUGAUCUUUUAUCAGAUAUAAAAAUGAAAAAGAAUAAUAUAAUAUCUAUCUUGUAUCCAUAUCCAUAUUAUAUAUAUUUUUAUAUAUGUGUAUUUAGUAAAUAGAUUUAAUAAUAUAAAAUUUAUUUUAGAUUACAGGUGGGUUUGAGGAUGAGCAAAACCUAUUUCAUUGUCGACCGAGAUUGGAUGGUGGCUUAGGAGGGUUAAAAAAUCAAUGAAUUAAAUCAAAUAAACAAUGAAAGUUAUUCAAAUAAUUGGUAGAAAAGAAUAUAAAAUGUUCAAUAAAAAAACAAUGAUUACAUUGAUUGGAACAAUCAUUAGCAAAAUGUUAGAUAAGGUUUUGGACGUCAAGCUGUUAUCUUGAUUUGUCAGUCGUGAGCAUGGAAUGGAAUUAAUACAGCCAGCGAGUUGAAAGCAGAAGAAUAACUGGAAUAGUAGGUGACAAUUAAACACAAAUAAUUUAUCUGAAAGUUGUGGAUAACAUAUUGAUUAGUGAGAAUCGUAAUGAAAAUCGUUUAGGCUGGCACAGGUAGAUGAAAAUCGUAAUGAACCAUAUUCAAUGGAAAAGCAAUUUUUCUAAUCAUUAAGAUCCAUUCAAAUAAUAAAUGAAAUUUAUUCUAGUGAAAUUAAAAAUAAUAGUGAUCAUAAAAUUAGAUAUUAUAAUAGUUAGAAUGAAUAUUAAUAAAAUUAAAAUUAAUGAUGAAAAUAUGUUUUUUAUUAUAAAUAUAAUGUUGACGAUUAAAUUAAAUAUUAUAAUCGAUUUAUUAAAGAUAAUCAAUUAUAAUAUUUAAAAACUAGGCAGUUAAAUGCCCAACAAAAAAUAAUAGAUUGUUAUAAUUGAAAAAUAUCUUUUGUUUUAAUUCUACACUAAAGACAGUCAAAUAUCUUAAUAAAAGAAAUUAAAAUUAAGGUUAAGAAAUAAGAAAGUGGCUGAAAAUGGAAGAUUGGAAGUGGGAUUUUUGGCCUUUUCCAAAUUCGGAUCAAAGUAAAUGGGUCUUGAAAUCAUAUUUCACCUGGUGAACCUAGCUGUAAAGGGUGAGGUUUAAAGUUCUAGCAACUGUCAGUAAAGAAUGUUGGCACUGACAAGCUGAGAAAGUCUAAACAAUAAGAGACUCUCCCACUAUUCUCAAUCAAAAAAAGGCAAACGUUGGAACUUAGAAGGGAAUUUGGGUUGAAAUUAGAAAUGAGAUUUCAAGAAAAAAUUGCCUUUCACAGUAUGGAAUUGCUUGAUCUUCACUCAAAUGUUUCAUCCAAAUCCUAAAAAUCAGUCAUCAACCUCUCACUCAAGCCCACUUUCCGGUCCAGACUAGGAAAAAUAGUUGUCACUUUGAGGUCGAAACUCAUUUGCUUCAUGUAAUCACCCGAUGAUAUACAGUAAUUUUAGAAUUCAAAUACCAAUAUUUAUAAUCUCUAUUCUUAUUUCUAAACUAUGACUUUUUUUGUAAAAAAGAAAAAAAAAUUGAUGACUCUUUUUAACUUUAAAUUUUUUUGAUAUAGGUUGCAACCUCUUUUGCUGGCUUGUUUACUUUUCUUUGAUUCCUCCGAUCAAUAGGCCAACUCUGCAGUUUCAUGGCCAUUGGAGCAAACAUGUUCUUUAGGCCAAAAGCUUUUGUUGAUUUCACGUUGCAAAGAAUGGGUGUGGAUUCAAUUUCUCCUUACCUAUACCUAAAGGAUUACACGUUUUAAUGGACGUACAAAAAGAGUUCACAGUUUGGCACAACAUUAAGAUUACUCCAAUAUGUUUAAAUUACCAAAAUGAUGUUUUUUUUUUUUACAAAAUAUCGAUAAAAUUGCAUACAUUUUCAAAUUACAUUAAUUUUAGAUUAAAUCAAAUUAUCGUCUUUGAAAUGAUUGAAUAAAUCAAUUGAAUUAAACUCAAAUAUUUCUUCCUUGUAUUGACAGCUUGAAAACUAAGAUAAAACAAAAAUACAAAACCAGCUCGGUUCACACUGCCAAGUGUUGAUUAAUCACCUUUGCGCCGCAAAAAUCACAACCUUAAUUAAGGAUUAAUUAACCAAUAAUAUUUCAUUAACACAGCAAUCUCGGCACGUACUAAUGUAUCGUCAUGUGAAUGGCUUUGUUACAAGCUAAAGUAACCGCGGACCAUUGGAGGACAGAGCUGUCAAACAAGGCAAUGACAUCUUGCGACGUGGCACAUUCUUGCUGUAUGAACUCAAAAACCGAGUCUAACAAAGUAAGAAAGAGGUUUUUGUCUUUAAGAAUCUUCCUGAGUUGUUGUAUAUGCUUUGGAUUAAGUCACCAAAAUCAAAGGUACCCCCAAAGUAUAUAUAUAAUAUACGUUUUCUUAUAUGCCAUGGCAUCAAUAUUAAACCCAACAAAUUUUUUUUUUUUGUUUUUCUUGUUUCUUGUGUUCCUCUAAUGAGGUGGAUUAGAGGACCUGCCAUAGGCCGUGGCGCCACAGCUACCGUAUCGCUAGCCACCGCCACCCCUUCUGGUGAGCUUUUCGCCGUUAAGUCCACUGAGUUAUGUCACUCAAUGUUCUUACAAAGAGAGAAUUAUCUCUUGUCCAAAUUAAGUUGUCCUCGUAUUGUUAAAUACAUAGGCUAUAAUGUAACAAAUGGAACAAAUAACAAGCCUAUGUACAAUCUUUGCAUGGAGUAUGUCCCCGGUAGCACGCUUUUCAAGGAAAUUCAAAGGGUAGGAGGGAGAUUGGAUGAAGAGAAAGUUAGAUUGUACAGUCAGCAGAUUUUACAAGGUUUGAAUUAUCUUCAUGAUAAUGGGGUGGUACAUUGUGACAUCAAGAGCCAAAAUAUUUUGAUAGGUAAAGAAGGUGCAAAGAUUGCUGAUCUUGGUUGUACUAAAUUGAUGGGAAAAGUUGGUUCUAAUGGAGGUUUUGACACGUCAGCAUUUUCCGGUACACCGUCUUUCAUGGCACUUGAGGUGGCACGUGGGGAGGAUCAGGGUUUUGAAGCUGAUAUAUGGGCUCUUGGAUGCACAAUUAUAGAGACGAGCACUGGGAAUUCCCCAUGGCCAGAGCUGAAUGAUCCGGUUUCAGCUCUUUAUAAGUUUGGAUUUUGGGGUGAAAUACCUGAGAUUCCAAAGUGGUUAUCUGAGAAAGCCAAGGAUUUUCUGAGAAAGUGUUUGAAAAGGGAUUCAAAGGAGAGAUGGACAGCUAAAGAAUUGCUUCAACAUCCAUUUCUAGAAGAAUUGGAUACACUUUUAAAGGAAGUAAAGGAAUCUACCAUCAAUUCUCCAAGUUCUGUGCUAGAUCAUGGUUUCUGGGAUUCAUUGGAUGUGGUGGAAAGUCCUGAGAAUUCGAUUCCUCGAGAGAUUUCCUUGAAGUCUCCGACUGACACGAUCAAGAAAUAGCUUCAAGGCACUCUGUCACCAUCUUCCAAUGCUUCUUGUUGGACGUGGAGUGAAGAUUGGAUAACAGUUAGAAGCAGUGGCAAUGACAUGGUAGAAGAUGAUUUUGCAUUUGCAACUCCAUCAUUCCUGGAUCCUUUUGAAGAAGAACUUGAAAUUGAAAGCUCAAUCUUAGAUGGGGAUUUUUUGUUAGAAAAUUCUAUAGAAAAUGUUAUUGAUUUUAGCAGUAUUUUGGCAUUUGAUAGUGUAACAGAUGAUUUUUUUUGUAUCAGACAAUCUCAAUGUUGAGACAGUAUUCAAUGAAAUUUCUUGUUCUAUUCCAAUCCCAUCUUCCAUAUUUGAUUUCUACAAAAUUUCCUUUGCAGGCAGACAUGACCGGCCGGCGAUCAACUCGGCUGAUGAUAAUGAACGAUUGGUGCUUGAGAGAGACUGGAAGAGGGGAUUGACUCCAUUUUUCAAUCUAUCAGGCAAUGACUUUUAACAAAGUCAAGUCUUCUCUGAUGUGCAACAAGUUGGAGAAACCAACAUGGUUUCAGUUUGCCAACUUUUGUUUGAGUCAACUGAUGGAGAAAUGAAGACUCAGCAGCAUUAGCCUUUUACAAUGUCAUCAUUUCUAUCAUUGGUAAGCGAAUUACUUGUUAAGACCAAGUAUUAGCCUUUCACAUUCAGAAAAAGAAAAAUUUUGUUAGAUAAUUAUAUGAGCAAUGAAACUAUGAAAAAGUUUGGCAAUUGUCAAACGGGGUUGGUUGAGUUGGUAAAGUUGGAAUAUUUUGUUUAUAGAGCCUAGAUUCAAAUCCCGUUGCCAGUAAUUUUUCUUUAUGGAAAAUCUGUAAAUCCAAUUCAAGUUCUCUCUGCGGUUUACCCUGACCUUGAAAUGGGAAGCCUCCUCUUACCUUGAACUUUUAUGUACCAUAAAAAAGCCUGGUAAUUUAUAAUCGAGGCUAUGAAAAUUGAAAAUUCUCAUCUUUUGAAAACCAUCAACUGCAGGUUAAUCAUUCUUCCAGUACUAUUCAUGAAUUGAUUAAUUGUAUAUAUCCAAUAGUAGCCUUCUGGUUUGGGUCCAUUUCAUGCCAUUUUUCCAGUUUCAGGUUAAAAUUCAUUCAAAUUCUGAGAAAGGUCUGGCUGGUUUAUUCUCUCAUGAAUCAAAAGAAAAAAAAAAAAAUCUGUUUUUGAUUCAAGAAAUGUUUGGUUGGCAAAAGUUAGCAGGAUAAUUCGACAACAGAAAAACUGUGUAUAGCCAUUUAAUUUGAGCAAUUAGAUGAUGUUAAGGCAGUGAAGGACAGAUAUUGAAAACUUAAGCCAACGCCAUGUAUCAAAUUGCAGAUUUGCAGAAGUUCAUUCUUGUCAUAUUUUAUCUUAUUACAACAUAUGACCCUGUCUGAGGCAUGUUUAUGAUUCUGUUUACUUCUAAGUUCUAACAUCAAUUUUUCAUCUUGAAGCUGUUGUCCUCUUUGGAUGUUCUUUCAGAUCAUGAUGCUUUACAUCAGGCUUUAGUUUCAUUUCUUCAGCUGCCUCCAAUCUCUUUGUUUUUGGAAGCUCUUUGAUAUAGUAGUGUAAUCUAUACGUAACCAGUGCAAGGAAUAGAGCAAACCCUGAAAUUUAAUCCUUUAAUAUGAAUGUUAGAAGACUUCUUUUAAAAGGUAAUUGGAACUAUUUCAAAACGUACACCAUUAAGCUGAUAAUUUGAUAUUAGACUUGAUAAUUUUUGUAUUCAUAUUGCGUUUUAUACAAAAAUUACGUGUAAUAAUUCGUAUUAACGCAAAAUACGAAAUAUAUUUUUGGUUUCUGUUAAACUAAUCCAGGAUUUUAGUCCUAAUUGAAAUUUAGUCAUGAUUGCUAGUUAACAUUUUAAAUUUGUGUCAGAUAGUGUAAUUUUAAGUCAGAUUUUGUGUUUGACCCAAUAUGAAUUGUGAUACAGUAAUUUUCAUAUUUUAUACAUACUUAACAUGAAAUAAAUAGACACAAAAAUAGGAAUUGCUAAUAUAUAUAGUUAAACCUUAAAACUCAUACACCUGAGGAACUUCAAAUGAAGUUAAUGAUAGUAAGUUACCCAUUAGAGAUGCUUCCAAAAUUUGAUUUGCCAUUAGAACCUCAUCAGUUGGAUUGAGAACACCACCUUCCAAUGAACGUUUCUGGAUCUCAAUUACAUUGUAUGAGAUAGAGAUAAAAACAACAAACAAAGUUCCUGCAACAGUCUUUGAAAUCACAGGGCCUCUCCCUUCCUUCAUCUUGUCCAAUACCUUGGUCAGCAGGUUCCUUAGAGGAGACCUGAACAGAAGCACCAGAACAAGAGCCGUUUCAGCAGAAACAAGAGUAAUCAAGAGAUGAAUCAUCUCAAUCAAGUAUUCAAAAAACUACUGCAAUGGUUUCUGAGAAAAUUAUAAUACAAUAUAUGGGGUGAAAAUUAAGUCAAAAACCCAAGUCUACAAUAGAAAAUGUUAACAACAUGUUUAAAAUUUUGGUAUCUGCUUCAAAACUUCAGUUUCUGGUUCAAUUAGGGAAUUAUGCUUUCCAUUUCUAUAGGAAGAAUAGAAUAUAUCUUCACUAACAGGAAUGGACACAAGAUGUAUUAACAAGGAAAAACAGAAUAACUUGCAGGCUCAGUUUUGAAGCUGCAAAAGUGCUUUCUCUAUUUCUUUUUUUCUUUUUUUUUCUACAUUCCCAUGUCAAAAAAUAGUGAAUUUAAGUCAAUGAUUUUAUCAUGUUGAUGGUUAGCAAAUGAGUUCAUUGUGUGAUAACUUGGGCUAAAACUGGGCUUGGGCAUCGUAAUCCAUCUCUCCUCAUCUUUCCCUUGUCCUAAGUUUGAAAAUAAACUUGAUAAUUUAAAACAUAAUAUCAUCACAUGAUAUAAAUAUGAUACAAAAAAAGAUAUUAAAAUGAUAUGAUAUAAAAUUUUAAUCAAAAUUACAUAUAAAGUUUAAUAAAAACUAAAAAAAUAUAUUUUAUAUAUUUUUACUGAUAUUAAUUAUGAUACAUAAUUUUCAUAUAAAAUAUAAUAUAAAUACAUAAAUUAUUUGUAUUUUACAUAACACUAUGAAUUAUUAUCAUGUUUACUCAAAAGAAAACUUAGGAAUUAAGAAAUCCAUAAAGCGAAUUGGUUUGAAAAUGUUUAGACUCUAUUUGGGCUGAAGCAUAAGUUCAAUACAAAAAAGAGAAAGAAUUACAGGCCUCAUGAAUGAUCUAUUGGGGGUGCAACAUAACCAACUUUGGGCUUCGGCUGGUCCCAUAGCUCUCCCAAUCCUUUCCAUUCUAGGAAAGAAAAGUUGGGCUGGUAAUAAAUCCACAAAGUUCACCAGUCAAAAUAAUCCAGAAAUGGUGGUAAAGAGAGGCAGACAAUGGUUACUUAAGAUCAAUGAAACAAUCUAAAUAUUGAACUAGAUAGGUUAUUUUAUGAUUUUUUUUUCUUUGUUUUUAUUUGUUAUCUUAAGAAAAUUAAUAAAUCAUGAGAAUUUUGGAUCAAAUUGGAUAAUUCUGAUAUUAACAUCAUUACAUGAAAUGAACUGGUUGAUCAGAGAUUCAUGUCAUCCAAGUUCUAACAAUACAAAAUCCGUUGGAGAUAAAUUUGAUUCAAAUAAGAAUAAAAAAAGAGUUUGGUUGCAAACUCUUCUUCAACCUCUUCUUGUGUUGAAGAAUGAGGAUGGGAUGCAUCAUCUGCAAGGUCUCUGAGCUCUGACAAACUUCUUCCAAGCUGAAGAGCGGCUUUCACUUCAAACAAUUCUCCACUUUCCCUGUCAUCAGCGUCUCCUUCCUCCAAGGUUAAUUCUAUAGUCUCCCCCUUAAGCCUGAAGAAUCCAGCAGAGCUCCUAUACAUUUCAAACCCCGUACCAAUCUGCCCACCAUGCUCAAAACUGUUAACAACAAUUGCCAUAGCUCCAAAAACCACACUGAAAAUCACAGCAAAUGAGCCACAGAAAGAUGAUCCCAUCAAGGCAGAACAAACUGCAGCCGUGCCAGUGAACAAGGGGCCACAAAUAGCUAGAAUUUUAUUGAUUUUCAGCACUAUUUUUGCUUAGUUUGAUAUAUUCUUCAGUGUCUUUUCUCUUCAAAACCAUAACAAUUUCUUUCAUUUUCUUCUUCAAGAUUUUCAUCCCACCCAUCUGUUUCUAUUUACUGUUGAUAAUUAGAAUGUGGUGCAUCUAUAAAGAUUUAAUUAUUAAUAAAUAAAAUUAAUUUUUAUAUUAAUUUUAUUUAUAUUUUAAGUUGUAAAAAACUUACCAAGCAUGGUUCCAAACAAGGGAAGUGGAUAAGCUUCAUCUAAUGCCAAGACUUUCUCCAUUGCAUGUUUCACAUCAUCUGAAUCUGGGUUUCCAAGAGCAAUGAUUGUAUUUAUCUCCUCAUGAAGCUGCUUAAACAAUCUUGAAGCAUUUCUUUGUUCUUCAGCCAGCUGCAACGGCUGUAUCUUAUAUAUAACCAGCAAAUUUAUAACCAGCAAAAGCCGGUUGAUGCAAUGUAAAGCAAACCGAAAGAUAGUUUCAGAACCAAAAAUGAUGCUCCACCUCCAACGACAGCUGCAAUUCCAGCCAUUGUCGCCACUGUGACUGUCAUUUCAUUGACAGAAUUCAACAGCAGCCAGUUCCAGUUAUCACGCUGUGCUCCAAUAGUCCAAUGUUCUAGCGCAUUUCAACUAUUUCUGCUACAAUAUCCAUAAUAGCAUACAUCUCUUGCAACACCAUUGAAUUAGAGAUUUCUUCCUUGGUUACGCUGUUAUUUCCAAGUUCAGGCUUAAUUUCUAUCAGGGAUUGGUGUUUUCAAGGUUUUCAACCCUUUUCUUCUGUUAAACCAUCAUUCAGGAACUUGGAAACUGAAAUAUUUUGGGUUAUAAAGAGUGGCUUUGGUUUUUUCCGAAGGAACUGAGAAGAACGACGAGGAAAUUGGUGAAAAAGCUUGAAGAAUAGCCACGAUCACUUUGCUUGUGAUCCAAAGGCUUUUGCAGUAAAUACGAGUGGAGAUCUGAUGUAUUUAUGCUAGAAUAAUUGGAAGGAUUUUCUACAGAACUUGUCCAUGGUUUCAUUUUUCAACGUAGUUGAAUUUGACUUUCCUUUACGGUUAUUGAAGUGUAGAGCGGGUUAAAGACUUCACUUGAUUGGUUCACUUGACAUUAUUUGCUUCUUGAUGGGUAUUUUUCACUUGACAUUUUUCAUUCCUAAAGAAAGUGUGAAUCAAUGCGAUCCCAAUACUUUAAUAUUAUAAAAAGUACAGAGGAAGUAGGAACUUGAAGAGAUCAUCACGUUAAGAAUUAAGUAUUAGAAUAAUCAAUCCCAAGUUUAACUAAGUUUAUUUAUACAGAUAUCCUCANNNNNNNNNNNNNNNNNNNNNNNNNNNNNNNNNNNNNNNNNNNNNNNNNNNNNNNNNNNNNNNNNNNNNNNNNNNNNNNNNNNNNNNNNNNNNNNNNNNNNNNNNNNNNNNNNNNNNNNNNNNNNNNNNNNNNNNNNNNNNNNNNNNNNNNNNNNNNNNNNNNNNNNNNNNNNNNNNNNNNNNNNNNNNNNNNNNNNNNNNNNNNNNNNNNNNNNNNNNNNNNNNNNNNNNNNNNNNNNNNNNNNNNNNNNNNNNNNNNNNNNNNNNNNNNNNNNNNNNNNNNNNNNNNNNNNNNNNNNNNNNNNNNNNNNNNNNNNNNNNNNNNNNNNNNNNNNNNNNNNNNNNNNNNNNNNNNNNNNNNNNNNNNNNNNNNNNNNNNNNNNNNNNNNNNNNNNNNNNNNNNNNNNNNNNNNNNNNNNNNNNNNNNNNNNNNNNNNNNNNNNNNNNNNNNNNNNNNNNNNNNNNNNNNNNNNNNNNNNNNNNNNNNNNNNNNNNNNNNNNNNNNNNNNNNNNNNNNNNNNNNNNNNNNNNNNNNNNNNNNNNNNNNNNNNNNNNNNNNNNNNNNNNNNNNNNNNNNNNNNNNNNNNNNNNNNNNNNNNNNNNNNNNNNNNNNNNNNNNNNNNNNNNNNNNNNNNNNNNNNNNNNNNNNNNNNNNNNNNNNNNNNNNNNNNNNNNNNNNNNNNNNNNNNNNNNNNNNNNNNNNNNNNNNNNNNNNNNNNNNNNNNNNNNNNNNNNNNNNNNNNNNNNNNNNNNNNNNNNNNNNNNNNNNNNNNNNNNNNNNNNNNNNNNNNNNNNNNNNNNNNNNNNNNNNNNNNNNNNNNNNNNNNNNNNNNNNNNNNNNNNNNNNNNNNNNNNNNNNNNNNNNNNNNNNNNNNNNNNNNNNNNNNNNNNNNNNNNNNNNNNNNNNNNNNNNNNNNNNNNNNNNNNNNNNNNNNNNNNNNNNNNNNNNNNNNNNNNNNNNNNNNNNNNNNNNNNNNNNNNNNNNNNNNNNNNNNNNNNNUGGAAGAUAGUUUCAGAACCAAAAAUGAUGCUCCACCUCCAACGACAGCUGCAAUUCCAGCCAUUGUCGCCACUGUGACUGUCAUUUCAUUGACAGAAUUCAACAGCAGCCAGUUCCAGUUAUCACGCUGUGCUCCAAUAGUCCAAUGUUCUUGCGCAUUUCAACUAUUUCUGCUACAAUAUCCAUAAUAGCAUACAUCUCUUGCAACACCAUUGAAUUAGAGAUUUCUUCCUUGUUUACGUUGUUUUUUCCAAGUUCAGGCUUAAUUUCUAUAAGGGGAUUGGUUGUUUCAAGGUUUUCAACCCUUUUCUUCUGUUAAACCCAUCAUUCAGGAACUUGGAAACUGAAAUAUUUGGGUUAUAAAGAGUGGCUUUGGUUUUUCCGAAGGAACUUGAGGAAGAACGACGAGAAAUUGGUGAAAAAGCUUGAAGAAUAGCCACGAUCACUUUGCUUGGAUUCAAAGGCUUUUUGCAGUAAUACGAGUGAGAAUCUGAUGUAUUUAUGCUAGAAUAAUUGGAGGAUUUUCUACAGAACUUGUCCAUGGUUUCAUUUUCAACGUAUUAAUUUGACUUUCCUUUACGGUAUUGAAGUGUAGAGCGGGUUAAAGACUUCACUUGAUUGGUUCACUUGACAUUAUUUGCUUCUUGAUGGGUAUUUUCACUUGACAUUUUCAUUCCUAAAGAAAAGUGUGAAUCAAUGCGAUCCCAAUACUUUAAUAUUAUAAAAAGUAUAGAGGAAGUAGGAACUUGGAGAGAUCAUCACGUUAAGAAUUAAAGUAUUAGAAUAAUCAAUCCCAAGUUUAACUAAGUUUAUUUAUACAGAUAUCCUCAAAAAAUUAAAUUUAAUUGUAAAAAUUUCAAAGUUUACGACUAUUUUUUUAUUUUAAGAGUUAUUGAAAAGAGUUAAAAGUAUUAAAUUUACGGUGUUACACUUUUUAUUCUAAUCCAGACCGUUACUUCUUUUAUUUUUUUUAAUUGAUAAUUCGUAUAUUUAUAUCAUACAAAAUUUAAUAAUUUAUUUAUUUUUAUUAUAUUUUAUAUAAAAAAUUAAUAUUAUAUUUAUAUAUAAAAAAAUACAAAAUAUAUUUUUUAUUUUAUUAAAUUUAUAUAUAAUUUUUAUUAAAAUUUUAAAUUAUGUUAUUUUUAUAUUUUUUUAUAUUAUUUUCGUAUUAUAUUAUUAUAUCGUGUUUAAAAUUAUCGACGAAAACAAUAAAUUUUGAUUUAGGAGCAUUCACGGUAAAUCUUGAUUUCUUUUUCCAUAUAGCAAGCAAAUACCCCUUUCUUUUUCAGUUUUCGGAUGGUCACGAAACAAAACAGGCAAAUGUGAACCCCAAUUCCUAACCAUUUUCACCCUUUGAAACCCAGAGUUCUACGCUUCAAGGAGACCAGAAUUACUCAGUUUAAGACUGACAGGAGGAAAGUCGACGCGCAUUCACUAGGAAACGACGAUGAAAUAUGACCAACCAUACCAAUAAUAAUCUUCAGUUUUCAUUCCUCGAGCAACAUGUGUCGUCUUUGUCAAUGCAACAAUCUUUGAAUCUAAGUGAGCAUUAUUCGGUUUAAAUCAAUUAAACCAAUUUAAAAUUGAUAAUUCAACGAAAUCGAGAUUUUUUUUUGGAUUAUUUAGUUUUUCAACUUAAAUGAUUUAAUCGAUUCGUUUUCGAUUUUAAAUUUUAUAUAUUGAAUCAAUCCAAAAAAACUAAUUUUUAUAAUUAAAAAUUUAAUAAAAUACCCAUUUACCUUAAUUUGACUAAAUUAAUUAAAUUGGUUCGAUUUUUAUAUAAAUUAAAUUAAUUAAAUCAAUUUUUCAAUUUUUACAACUAAAUUUUACAACCAAAUUCAUCAAACAGAAUGUUUGCUUUCCCCUAAGCUCCGGGUUCUUUUAUUCGAUAUUAUUACAAAUUUAAUUCGUUGCUGUCUAUGCCUAGACCACGGUCAUUGCCCCGGCCAGGCCAGGGCAGUGAUAAUUAGAUACGAGUUUUCACUCUCACGAGUUAAUAUAAAACCUCUACAUAUGUUUUAAACAACAAAGAAACUUUGAAUUACCCCAAUGGCAUCCAUGUCAUGUGUGAACCGUGAAGCUAGAACUCAGAUCCGAGCAGCAUAAGAAUGCGGUACCGAUCAACUGCAUCACAAGGGAACCAGCCUUCUCUUGACAAAUUGUGAAAAAAAAAAUUGUAAAACAUCAAUACAAAGACUAGUACAAGUAAAGUCUUAACCAGUCAAGCUACUUAUGAAUUAUUCUAACUUUGAUCAAGAAAAACUCAAAUAACAAAUGAAAUUGAGUUUGAGUAAUUUAAUGUCAAUAUUUACAAUUUCACCGAAUUAAAUAGAGCAUACUAAAUCGAAUUCAAGUGAUUCAAUUAAAUUAUGAAUUAAAUUCGAGCAUGAAAAAUGAAGCUUGAUCAAAUUCAAACAGUGUUAUACAAUCCCCAAAUGAAGAAUUGAGAGGAAAGAAUAAGCAACCACAACCAGGAAGCAGAAUUCUCAUGUUAGAGACUGCAUGAAUCUGAGAAAAAACCAACCUGUCCAUGUAUGAUUUUCACAUUCAAGGUGUCAUAAAAAUGUGUACCCUUUACACCAGAAUUUAAAGAACUUAGUGUAAAAUAAAAGUAAAAACCGUAUUUGCACAACAGAAACUGGAAAUAUGUAUUUAUUCUUGUUCAACAAUGGCCAGCUGUAAUUUCGGAACUCGUUAAAGGGUGAAUCAACAUACGAAACCCUACAAAACUUCAGGAACUUAUUCUUGCUCAUUUAAAUAGGAAGUAUAUAUCCAAUGCUAAUCGUGAAGAUAAUAUCACAAGCGAAAAAAAAAAAUUACACAGCAGUUGCUACUAGGCCUUCAUACAUUAAGUAGCACCCUGCGAGGGUCUUCCACAACAUCUUUGAUUCGAAGCAAGAAGAAGACAGUCUCUCUUCCAUCAAUCAGCCUAUGGUCAUAAGUAAGGGCAAUGUACAUCAUUGGUCUUGGGACUAUGUUACCUCCGAUAACCAUUGGUCGGGACACUAUUGAGUGCAUACCCAAGAUAGCCGACUGCCAAAAAAUUGUUUAAUCACGUGAGAUUCUCUUUCUGGUCUCAAACAAAAGCUGAAGAUUAGAAACACAGAAGAGCGAGCGCAAACAUCUCUAUUAAUACGGAUGUCACAAGUGUAUGGAACCCUCAUACAUAAACAAGCAUGCACAAUUAUUCAGUUUGUGACCACUAACCUGAGGAGGGUUGAUAAUUGGGGUACUCAACAAACUUCCAUAACACCACCAUUGGAUAUUGUAAACGAGCCUCCAGCCAUUUCAUCAAUUGAUAUGGUCCCAUCAUUUGCCUUCUUUGCGAGGCUGUUGAUUGUUUUCUCUAUCUCAGCAAAAUUCAUCUUAUCAGCAUCUCGAAUAACCGGAACGACAAGCCCCUGACAGGAAAGAUAAAGAAACAAAAAGCUUAACAUAGAAACAUGAAUCUCAUUCUUCUUUUUCUUUUUCUUAACUUUCAGUGCCCAUGAAGGAUGGGGUGAUCUAUGCAUAUAUUUAUCAAUAGAGGCCUAUUUGAUUGGUGGAGAAACUUUGAAGAUUAGCAACAAACCAAAAUGAGAAAAGACUUGACAUAAUCAUCUAGAUACCUCAUUUUCUCUUUUGUCAUGAAAUAAAAUAAAGCAACUUCAGCUCAGCAAAUAAAGAAAACAAGUAAAAAAAAAACCCUUCAAAAAAUCUAUAAUGUUUAAUUGUCAAAGGACACAGUUUUGAACCUAUUGAUUACUCAUUUCAACUUUACAAACUGCUCUAAGUUCAUAGGAAAUUCUUAAAUUCAAUACAUUUUUACAUGAUGUUUAAAUUUCUUUCAAAACAAGCCAAGAAAGAAUGCUGAGAGAAACACUAACAAUCCAAGUUUCAACAAGCCAUUAAAUGGAUAAAUUGCAAUUUGGCAAAUAAAUCACAAAAAAGAUUACCUUCGGAGUACCAACAGCAAUGCUGAUAUCAAUAUAAUCUCUAUAAAUAAUAUCAUCCCCGUCAAUUGGCAAAUCAAUCACAGAAAAGAUUACCUUCGGAGUACCAACAGCAAUGCUGAUAUCAAUAUAAUCUCUAUAAAUAAUAUCAUCCCCGUCAAUUACAGCAUUUACUAUAGGCUGAUGCUGAAGUGCACUAAUAGCAGCCUGAAACAAAUAAUAUAGAAGAAAUGAUAAGGGAAAAAAGAGAAAGCAAAGUUAGUGAAGACAGGCCAUGAGUGCAUAUGUGACCAUUUCAAGAACAAAUUUUGCAUACUUUAACAAAUCCUGACAUAAAUCCCAACUUGACACCAUGUCUCUCAACAAAAGCAUCCUUGAAAUCAGAGCGGAGCUUCAUCAAAUUAAUCCUGCAAUGAGAAGCAAAUCAAAAAGAAAAGGAAUCAAAUCAGCAUAGCCUUCAUAAAGUAAAAUGAUCUGGUUAACUUCACGGAAAACUUGUAUCAGAAAAGGGAAGCAAAUAGUUAGGUACAGUCAAAGAAUCAUCUGAACCUAAAAAAAACCAAAAUAUAAAUGUUUAGAAAGUGAAGUAGCACAGACAGCAGGAUGCCAAACACCUGAUGCAAAGAACUAAUAUGAAGAUAACUGAACUCACAUGUCAACUUCAUUGAAUGUUGUCAACAUCGCAAAAGUAUUCUGAGAAUCUUUCAAUCGUGUAGCAACCCAUUUCCUAAGCCUUGUCAUAGGAACCUGUAAUCAUGAAGCCAUACACUCAGGAUAUUUUCUAAGAUGCUAACAUCAUUUUUCACAAAAGGCAUCAGAAAAUUCUAAGCAUACCCUUUGGAUAACAUUUGGAUGCAAACAGCUAAUGAAAAGACUUACUCUUCUUUCCCUUUCCUUGGGUGGUAGUAUAGGUUCAGUAGCAGUUCGUUUUGGAGGUGGUGGAGAAGGGGCUUUAGGCUUCUCCACAGCAGGAGAGACUUCGACUUUAGCCUUUGGCAUAUCCUCCUUUACAGUUUCACCUGGAGGAGAUGGCUUGGAAGCAGGUUUUUCUGAUUUCUUUUCAGAGGGGGCAGCAGGUGCAACACCAUCAGUGGACUUUGAAAUGACAGCAAUCUUGGUACCUGGUUCCACAGUAUCUCCUUCCUUGGCUACAUACUGGCAAGAAUUAUGACAUUAAUAUUCAGGAUCCAAUCCACUUCCCUUCCUCCCAGAAAUGAGAAGGCAGGAGUCUAGGAACGACCAACAAAGCUAGAUACAUGCGUGCAUGCAAUGUUUGACCCAAAGAUCCAGAUUUAUUGAUAUAUUACCUCUUGUAUCACACCAAUGUUGGGGGCUGACAACAUCAAUUGUUACCUGAUGGAAAAAAACACCACAGGUAUGAAGGGUAAUAAAUAUCUUCUUGAUAGAGGAAAGGAGAAGAAUAGUACCUUAUCUGUUUCUAUCUGAGCGAUUGGUUCGUCAGCUGCUACUCUAUCACCAGCUUCUGCUCUCAAAUUUCAGAUACAUACACAAUCAAACACUUACAACCCUGAAAACGAAUAUUUCUAGUGAAUGAAUGGAAAUUACAAUAGUGGAAAACAUACUUUUCAAGAAUGUUGCCAAAGUGCCAUCAGUAAUUGAUUCUCCCAUAAAAGGGACCACAGCAUCAACCAGAUCCCCUUCAUCACAAGUUAAGUAAAAUAGGAAAGUCAAAAUCUUUAAAUUUAACAUAAUUACGACAUAAAAGGGAAUUCAUCCUUAUUUUCAAGCAGACCUGUUCAUAAUCAGUAUGUACUGUUUGAAAAUGAAAAAUGCACUAAAAAUGCCAAAAUGGUGGAGGUGCAAGUCUAGUACCACCAAAGUUUACACCAAAUCAUUAUACGACUAAAUUGCAGCCAAAGUUUUGAAACUAUUGCAUUCACACUUUUCCAGAGAAAGAUUUUAAAAGAAAUUUUGAACUAAAACUAUUUUCUUCUUUUGACAUAUUGCCUGACGUAGUACCUCUUGGGCAGCCCAACUGCUAACUGAAAAUUGGGUUUGACAAUUGUUAGAUGUUAAUGGUCUAUCCCAGAUAAGCGGUGAUUCAAAUGAACAAUUAUAAUGCACAGGAUCUAAAUUCUAGCAGAAACCAAAAACACACAUCCCUAUGUUAAUAACCAUUCAAAAAAGACCAAAAAGAGAAAAAAUGCUAAUAAAACUUAGGCCAAAUAAAUAUCAUUAAGGAAAUUAUUCAAUAACAUACCAUCUCUAGAAGAGAAAGCCCCGCACAACUUUUGCAUGAUAGCCUUUGACUGCAUGCUAGAAAUGACAUCCCUGCCCACAAACAAAGCUUUCAGGGAAAAGAAGUGAAGAAGUGCUAAGGAGCAGCAAACUGAUUUAAAGAAUUAUAUAUAUAUAUAUAUAUAUCAUGGAAAGAGAAUUUCCUUUACUAGUUACCCUAAGUAAUCUAGUUCCUGAUAAACAAAUAUGAGAUGGACUGUGCAUUGAAAUGGGCCUGCUAUUAAAGUUAGAUAUACAAUUGUCAGAAUAAUCCAGUAGUCAACUCAUACCCUGUGACAGUUUAAUUCCUAACAUUGAUGUGCAUUACAAAGUUCAGAACCAACUAACCUUGUCUUUGUUAAACCAGCUGAACAGCCUAUAAUAAUAAUUUAAUAUUUCAUUAAUAAUGAAGAAAAUCAACAAAAUUAUGCCAACAAAAGAAGAAAAACCACCCAAAAGAUAUACCUGGCAGAACAAGAUGAAAGAAGCUUCGGACAUGGGCAAUUCCUCUCGGUUGAAGUAAUAGUAUGUGUUCAAGCACUUGAAAUUUCAAUCUCAUGAGAACAUUUACCAAUGGAUGACAAAAAUUCAAAGUCCAAAUGAUUAAAAAGAAAAAAAGAAAAAAGUAACAUUAUUUCUAAAUUAACUAAAGAUUAAAAUUUCAAAUUUUAUGGACAAUAAAACGUGCGAUUUUUUACUUUAAAUCAAAGGACUAAGUUUGAAUUAUUUUUGAAAAAAAAAAAGAGAAUAUUUUACCAUAUGAUCUUGCACUUCUUUUACUUUAUAUCAACAUUUUAAUAUUGCAAGGCCUAAAUAAAUCAACCAUCUUCGACAUCAGUUAUAGAUUUAAUAGCAUCAAGAUCAAUUGAAAUUCAAAGAAACUGAACUAAGUUCAUGAUUACCAAAUCUAAUUCAUUUUCAACUGAAUUAUUUAUCUCUUUUCCAGCAUUACAAGAAACUCUAGAUACUGAAACACCCGAUCGAAUCACCAGCAAUGACUUCCUUAAUACCUGAAAAAUCACAAAAAAAAUGAAAAAAAAAUUAACAAAAUCCUAUGCUUUAGCUAAAUGCAUUACAAUUUAAACAAUAAAAGUUCUAACCAAAGGUGAUGAGCCUCCGCUCGCAACUUUUCUCCUUAAAGCGCCCAACAUCACCGAUAUUCAAUCCCUAUUCUUUUUUCAAACUCAGAAGCAAAAAAUAAAAAACCAAUAAUUUUGAACGCAAAAAAUCAAAUAAAAAUCAAUAAAUUAUAAUGUAACUUACCAGAUUUCAGUGUAUAAGCAGUAUAUGAAUGAGACGUGAAGCAAAGUAAUAUCGAAGAGAAAGCAGUUUGACUUGAUUGAUGCAGACACAAUUGAGAGUCGUCGAAUAGAGUAUAAUUUAAAAAAGAGGGUUUUUAAGAGAGAUUUGGCUUUUCUUUCUUUUGUUUGGUUCAAGAGAAAAUGAGAGAGAGAAACCGCGAAGAUGCGGGUUUUGCGGGUCUGUUGUAUCCGCAACGGUCUUACGUGGCAUCGUUUUAUUGAUAGAUACAAGUAAGGAUUCUUUUCUUCCCUUUAACCGGGAGAGGAAGGAAAAGUCGUUACAGCGCCGUUUCGAAAAGUGACACUUUGAGCUUUGUUUGGGUUCGAAACUCAAUGUUUAGGCUUCGUUUGGCUUUUAUUUGGAUUUAAAAAUUUAAAACUUUUAAGACCGGCAUCUCAUAAUUUAUUAUGAUAAACUUUUAUUUCUUCCAUCUUAAUUUCUAUGUUCAUAUUUAUUUAUAUCUUAAAAUUAUAUAUUUUUUUAUAUCUAAAACUCUUACAUUUUAUAUUUUGAAAUUAUUAUAUAUAUAUUUUACAUUUUAACAUUAAAAAUCAUGAAAAUUUUUAUAAAAAUUUAAAUUAAUAUAUAAAUACAAAAAUCAAAGUUUUUUUUUUUUUAAACUCAUUAAAGUUUAAACACAAAUAUUUGAACUAAGGGAAUAUAUUUAAUUUUUAAUAUAUCUUUAAGAAUGUGAAAAUAUUAAAAAAUUUCAUUAGUAAAAAUUUUUCUUAUUACUAUUAUAUGUAUAUCAUGGUACUAAUAAUAGUUGAUUUUUAUCUUAAAAAUUAAAUAAUUAAAGUGAUUUUAUAGAUAAUCAAGGAUUACAUAGUUUUCGUUGAUUGAUAAUUAAAUAGUUAAUUGAUUUAAAAAAAUAUUAUUUCAAUGUACUUGAUAUCAUAAAUUGUUUUUAAAUUGACAUUUUGAGUUGCUUUAGUUAAUAAAAAUUAAGAUAUUUCUUUUGUUUCAUUAAUUGUUUUUAAAAUCUCUCACGGGUAAUUAAGGUUAAGGACACAAGAUUGUAUUUAUCGUGAAAAGUGAACCUUGGGGUAUCUUCAAUUUUAGUGAUAGAAAUGCAAAAUAAGUUUUUUCAACUUUACUUAAAAAUCUAGGAGUAAGAUUCAAAGCUUCACUUAGUUCAUGUAGUCACUUGUAAUAGGUAAUAUCUAGUAAGUUUAGGGUUAGAAUCUCAACCUUUGCACUCAUUUCCAUUAUCCCAAAGUUUGCGAUAUCAUAAAAAAAAUGCUGAGAAUCGGGUUAAAACUGAUGAUUCAAAUUAGAAGCACAUACUAGAAAAUAAGGUUUUAUCGAGAUGAAAAUUUUUUCAUCGGUAACAGCCAAAUUCUUCGGUCAAAUGAUAAUAUUAUUGACUAAUUUUAUGAGAAAAAAAAUUCCAUCGGUAUUAAUUAAGUCGGUACUAAGUAUUACGUCCGUAUAAGCAAAUCCAUUAUAGGGCCUACCUAGUGUAGCCGAGUUCUGGUGGGUUUGGCUGGCUUUGGGCUUCAUUCUAGCUAUGGCAGUUGGUUUUACUUCCUCGACAACUUUCUUUCUUGGUGGCAUGGUGUUUUAGCUUGGCCAAAAAAAGAAAUUCCCUUACCUGGUGCAUUAAAUGCUUGUGUCAAGCUAAGUUGGAAAGGUAAGACUCUAAAAUCACAAAGGAAAGAAAGAAAGCGAUUAAGAUUAAAUGCUAGAGUGUCCCUAAAGUUUGUGCUUUGAUGCUCAAGUCAAAAAUUAGCCAAAGAGGAAAAUAGAAAAGAGAAUAGAGAAGAUAGAAUGACAUGUCAUGUCUAGAUGGUACUUGCAUAACUAGUUAUAGUUUAAAAGUAAGGGGUUUCGGGUAACUUAGGUUGCCCAAAGUUAGUCAUAUGGUUAAAGAUGACCUAAAGUAUCAAGUUAACUUGGAUAUUGAUUGUCCACCAAAAGGACGACAAGUCAACAUUGAGGGGAGCCUGUUGGGUAGAUUAGUAAGGUGGUUGAGCUAACGUGGUACUAUGACCUUAAGUUAAUCAAACAUGUAAGGUCAGUCCAAAAGUCUAAAAUAUCCCUGGCUAUUUGUUGGUAGUCUCUAAUGAGAAAAGAUGACUAAAAUAACCUUUGGACCCAAAAAUACCCAUAGUAGUUAGUUUUUAGUUUAAUUAAUCAUAUUUAAUAAUUGACAGCUUCAAUUAAAAAAAAGUAUAUUAGUUAAUUAAUUGAUUCCAUGUAACUAGCUGAUGGAUUGAACAUUUCAUAUGUGUAUAUAUUCAAGUAUUCCAUUAAGAAUAAAAAAAUAGAUAUGACUUUUGUUUUCAUUAAGAACAAGAGCACUUCAUUUUGAUAAUUAAAACCAUCAAGAACAAGAAAUUAAGCAUAAGUAAAGAAAAAGUUAGUUAGGUACCAUUGUUAUGGCAUGGAAAUGUGUUUUGAGUCCUUAUUGAAACUUGUACUCAAAUUUGGGCAUCCUUUUUACUCCAAAAUAACACAAAAAGGGAAUCCAAAAUGAUAACCCAUUUGAGCGAAGGUAUUUAGGCUUAGAAGCUUUGAAAGUUUCAAUCCUUUUAAUUUAAGGAAUACUAUUCCUUUUCCAUCAUCUCAAGUUUAAUUCAUUUUAAUACCCAAAAACUUGCUUUGAUUUGGAAUCCAAAUUAAUUUCAAUAUUUUUUAGUUUUGAAAGAGAAUAGGUAACAAUAAUUGGAAACAAGCUUUGAAAUUGUUACACCCAUAAAUCCAUAUAUGUUUAAGAUAAGGAAAGGAUAUAAGUUGGAGAUGACUUUAUAAUAAUGAUGCUAUUGAAGUUUGGUUUAUUUCAAUGAUUUCUUUUGACUCAUCACAACACUCUGUAUCCAAAUAGUUCAUGUGUGGUAAAUUUUUAGCCAGUAUAAAAGAGAAGAUAGAUUUUAACCUAUUACAAUUUGACACAUUUAACUCUCUAAGACAUUAAAGGCUUGCAACUGGGAAAUGACCUUAUAACUAAUGUAUACGCUUUAGAUUUAUAACCUCUAUUCUUGAGAGAAAAUAUUUAGCUUAUUUGAAGUAUCCUUCCCAAUUAAUUAUGUUGCACAUGUUGUUAGGUCUUAACCCAAAAAGUUAUAGUUCAUAUAAAUAUAAAAAAUAUCAUAAUUUCAUUAAAAAUUGAAUAAAUUACAAAGGUUGAAGAAUGUAUAACUUUAAACAUAUGUUUAAUUGGUUUUCAAUUGUCAAUUAAUUUUUUCCACAUAGUGCAAUGUCAUCAAAGUUUGCCUAUAUAUAUACGUCAUCAAUUUGAAUUAAUAGGAUCAUCACUAGAAUUUCCCAUCCAAAUUAGGUUUCAUUAAACUCAAAUAGUUUGGCUUAAUCACACGAUAACAAAGUAAGGGCUUAAGUGAAAAUUUGAUUAAAUAUAGUUAGAUGGCUUAUUUUAUUGUUAUGCCAUUACUAAAGAAAACAAUUUUGUUUUUAGCUUCCAUUAGGUCUGAUCUUUUCAUCUUUUAAUUAAGUUUUUAACCUCCUAUUUUUCUUAUGCACGCUUUAAGGUAACCACGAUUUACAUCUUUAUCUUUAGUAACUUUCUCCAAUUGACGUUCCUAUACAACAGCUUAAUAAUUCAAUUUGUCUCAAUUUUUCUUGAAGUCUUAGAUUCUCUUUUGUAUCUUUUCUUUUUCUGCCUCGAAUUCCAACCUUGUGAUUUUGAUUUCCAACAUCAGUGCCUUUGCCCAUGGAUCAACUAGUUGAGCAAACCAUCAUUUGGAGGGUACCAUAUUAUUAACCCAUUUUGCUCUCCAUACCAAGUAUCCUAGAGUGACAUCAUGAGUACAUCUUCUCAGCUAUGAUCAGUAGGUUUAUCUCUAUGCUUUAGUGAUAUUGUGUAGUCUAACCACAUUGUUAAAUUUUCCAUAAUCGAAUUCUAAUUGGUUCAACCCAUGAGUCAUCUGAACAAAUUGUUUAGACCUAUACUAUCGCCUAACCAUAAAGUGUGUAAAACUUAUAACUCCCUAAAUUCAUAAAAAUAGACCCACGUUUUAUCACUACAACUAUACAGUAUAGAGGCAUGAAGCAUCCAAAGUGCUCUCCAAAUCAAAUCUUCUAUAUUAAGAUUUCAAAAGAAUGCAACCCAUUGCUCUUUAAUGAGGUCCUUCUACGGAUAUCAGUAGGUAGGGUAUAAGGUGGAUAGAGCAUUCCUUAUCCCAUUCUUGAAUUUUUAUAUUAUACCUAUCUCGGUAUCCACAUCCAAUAGGUAUUUCAAAUCUAUCCUCACCCUCAUCCUCUUAAGUAUUUAAUGGGUAUAGGUAAUCCUUAUAUCCAUAGCUUCUUUUUUUUUAAAAAAUAAAAACUAUAAUUUAUUUUUUUAGCUUUUUUUAUUUUUAUAUUAUAUAUUUAGGUAAUUUUUUCAUAAAUAUAUAUUAAUAUAUAUAUUUCAAUAAAAAUAUAUUAAUUCUAAUUAAUCUAAAAUAAUAAUUUAUAUCAUUUAACAAAAAAUCUAUUUAUUAAGUAUUUAUAAAUAUAUAUGUAGAGUACAAAUAUGGGGUGGGUGUUAUAUUACCCAUCUCCAUCCUUAUACCUAAUAAAAAUUUAAAAUCAUACACAUUCCUAUCCCUAUACCCACAAUGUAAUACCCAUUUCUAUCUUUAUUUAGGUAAAAAAUUAGAUUCUUCAUUAGGUAUAGGUAUCUUUAGGUUCUUCGGCCAUUCUUUUUUAUAGAACUUUGUGAUAGGGACUAAGAUUUCUUGCAUGGUUUAGAGGAACUUUAUCUUUACCCUAAAAGUGGCUUUGAAGCUAGAUGUAUAAAAUCUAUACACAUCUCAAAAAAUGUAAUUCUCCUUUUCUCCAACAACAAUUCAAUGAUUUAAUUAUCUUUGUUAAAAUAACCAUUGAGGGAUUGAAAUAUUUAUGCAACUAUGCUGAAGAAUCAACCAUUUAUACCUCGACAUGCCCUAAUACCCUCAGAAAGAUUAGCAAACCAUAAAUCGCAAAGGUAAAUAUUUUAAUGACUCGCUCUUCAUUGUGGUUCUUAAGUUUAAGAUCAAGUAAGAAAGCCUAUGGGAUACCAUCAAUGAUUCUUUUCUUCUUAUCGAUCACUUUGACAUCCACACCAGUUAUUUGUAAAGCUUUUUUUGAUAACUUGAUUUCUUUUAUUCGUUCUAGUAUAUCCUAUCUGAACUUGAAAACUUUAUAUAAAGCAAAGUGGAAUAUUUCUCAAUAGUUGAUGUCGUAUAUUUUUUGUUGAAAGUUAAGCAAUGGUAUGAUGAGGUUCCAAAAUCAUAUUAUCACCUUAAUCUACCUUUCAUUUGUCUUUGCCGAAAUAAGUAGCUCAAUAUUUCUAUACUUCUUGAUAAAAGCAUUUUUUCUUUCUGCCUCCAUUAAUUCCAAAUAUUUUCCAACUCAAUCAAGUCAUUCUAACAUAGGUCUAAGUGGACUAUUACAAGACAUAUCCUUUAAUUAAACAAUCUCCAUCCUUUUAUUGCCCAUUUUCAGAUUGAUCAUUAAUUUCCCAAUGUGUCUUACUAAUAGUAAAUAUUGAAAGCAAAUCCCGAGAUUUCAUGAUCACAAUAGUAGUUUUUUUGGCUGGACAUUAUCUAAAAUAAAAAUACACCUCAAUGCAACUGUUUUAUAUUUUUGAUGAUGCAUGUAAAAAGGAAAAAAUAAAAAAGUUAGUAAAAAUAGAUUUAUAAUGAAUAAAAUUUCAAAAUAGGAAAAGAAAUUGGUUUCAUUGUUUUGAAAACAUUUGCCUUUUUACUUAUCAAAGAAAAUUCUUUUUUUUAAAAGAAAAUAUAUACAUUUAGGCUUUCAUCAGGUAUCGUAGAAACCUCAAAACAGUGGUGUCAUCCUAUUACAGAUAUCGAGAUGCUAUUAAACUUCAACUAUUCUACGAUCCAUGUAGUCGUCCAAAAUCAAGUAAAGGGUAAGAAGUGUUUUUCAUGUGUUCUAAUUUUGUGUGCAUUCUAUGAAGAAGGUUCUGCAUGGUUCUACUUAUAGGGUGGUUUUUUAUGGUUUUCUAUAUGCUUGGCUGGGAUUUUUACGUGUCUAAAGAUUCUCAAAUUGCUUUUCACUAUUACCCAUACUAGUCUAGUAAGGUAUCUUGAUCUUAAACUAUUAUAGGAUACAAAUGAAAAAUGUUUAAUAUAAAUAAGAGUAUUUUAGAUGUAUUCACCUCAUAAAAGUGUAAGUACUUUACUCCCUCCUAAAAAGAUUGGAGCUCACGUAUAAAACUUAUGCAUGUAAAUGAACACAUAAUUGAAUGUGCCAAACAAACAAGCAUUUGAUACUCUUUACCAAGAUUCCAAUAUCUUAAAUGCCUCAUAAUUUAUUAGACAACAGAGAAAAUGCCAUAAUUAACAUAAGUAAUGAAUGAUAUAAAUAAACAUGAAUGUAGGCAACAUUAUUUUUUUUUUUGCAAAAUUUUUCAUUUUUCAAAAUUUUUGUUUUUGAAAAAUAGAAUAAGGAAAUUACUAUUAAAUAUCAAUUAAAACCAUUAAAUCGAAACUUAGGAUAGCACAUAAUUUAUUUUUGGCUCGACUUUAAAAAAAUAUCUCUAGUGAAGUGGUCAAGUUGUCACACCAUACGGGUUUAGGAAUCUGACCACCUCGUUAAAAUUUUAAAAUUAAAACAAUGAGUUGUCACAAAUCUUUAUUUGAGUAGAUAUGAUUGGUUACUUAAAAAAUUAUUUUUUUAAUAAAAAUUUUAAAAUUAAUUAAAACUUAUUAAAAAUAUAAUUUUUUGGUAUGCAAAAACACAUCUGAGUUAAAAAAUAUGGUUAUACAUGGGGAAGUAUUAACACCCCAUAAUACCGGUUAAAAAAUAGUCUCAAUUAAUAACAUAUAUUCCUUUAAUAUUGAUAAAAAAAAUGGCCUAAAUUUUAAAAUUUAAAAAUAAUGUCUUAAAUCCCAUUUACUAUCAUAAAACCCCCUUUUUUGCCAUCAUUUUUAGAAUCAUUUUAUUUAGAAAUAAAAUAAAAAUUUUGUGUUUUGAAUUUCUCAAUAUCCAGAUAAAAUUUAGAAAAAUGUUUUUGACUUAGGUAUUUUCAUGAUAAUCCUUAAAACCAAAGAUAAUAUUUUUUUCAUAAGAAAUAAUUAUUAAGAAUCCCUUUAAUAUUUAGGCAGAGUUUCAAGAAAUAUUUUACUUAGGAUAUUAUCUUAUUUUGUUUUUAAAAAAUAAUUUCUUUUAUAGUCAUCUUUUACUACACUAUAUAUUUUUUAAGAAUAGUAAAAUGUAUGUGAUGUAACAUGAAGCAAAUUAAUGAUGCAAAAUAAACUAAAAGAUAAAAAUGACCAAUUUAAUUCAUAUUAUAAAUCUUUAACUUUAUCACUUUAUAUUUUUUCAUUGUUGUUUUUUUUUUAAAUAUUUAGUGAUAAAAUGAAAAUAUUUUUGUGUUUUUAGAAGUAACCUUUGUGCAUUAUCAACAUUAUAAUAUUUAUAAAUCUGAUAAUAUUAAAUUUUUAAGUUCAAUUCUCAUCAUACGUGAAAUUAAUUUAAUUUUAUAUUAAAUUUAUUUAAUUAUGUGUCGAUUUAUUUAUUUGAUUUAAUUCAAUGAUUUUCUUAUAUAAUACUUUCUUAUACUAUUAAGUUCAUAAAAAAAUUAAUAACUAAAGAAUUUCCUAAAAUUUUCAUUGACAUAGCAAUUUUUUUUUGGAACUCUUGAAGGCUUGGCAACAAGAGUAGCUUUUUUGCUUUAUAAUAACCAAAAAAAGUCAUAUAUAAUCCUAACUAGAAAUAAGGAGAAUGACUUUUUGGUUUUAAUUUGAAAUUCAAAACUAAUAAUUAAAAGUCCCCUCUCCUCAUGACCUGAAUAUCAUAAUCACUUAUUAUGAUUAGACUUGAUAAUUUAAAUUAUGAUAUGAUUAUAUAAUAUGAAUACAAUAUAAAAUUAAAUACGAAAGUGAUAGAGUUUAAAAAUUAUAAUAAUAACUAUAUAUAAUUUAACAAAAUAAAAAUAUAUAUUUUAUAUUUUUAUAUCGAUACGAAAUAUGACAUAAUUUUUGUGUAAAACACAAAACGAAUACAUGAAUUUCAUUAUAUUACACUAUAUGAAUACGUGAAUCGUCAGAUUUACUUAUGAUAAACAUGGUUAAUCAAUUAGAAAAAAAAUGAAAAAAAAAGUAUGUAAACAUUAAGUUGCUAGCUAUAAAUUAUUAGCCUAAAACACGAAUGGUUUAUAUUUUGAAUUUUUUUGUCCAUGGAAAUGCAUUUUUUUAAUAAUAAAUAAUAAAUCAAUCAAUCAAUCUAGUAAUGAAAUAAUUAAAAAUUUAAAACUAGAGAAAAUAUUCACAUGUAUGCAAAUGCAUCUUCAUAAAUUAAUUUCAUUUCACACUGUUCAAAAAGAAUGAUAUUCGAUAUAUAGCUAGAUCAAGACACAAGAAUAUGGAUGAAAUAUGGACAAUCUUCAAUUAAUUAACAAAUCAGUGAAAAUAUGUUUAUAUUACCGAAAUCAAUAAAAACUAAAAGAAAAUAUAAUAAAAAAGGCCAAAACCUUUUGUCCCUUUUCAUAAUAAUGCUCCUUCCAACAAUGUUUUAUACCUUGGCCUUUGAGGAAAGUGAUGGCCUUGGAGUAGCAUGCUGUCUUCUUCCAAAUUAAUCACCCAAAAAUUCCCACUAAUUAGACGAAUAAUAAAAAAUUAUAAAGAUCUCAGUGGAAUUUAAAAAAUUAUAUGAUGUAAAAGUUGAAUUACAUAGUAGUAUUUUUGCCAUUUACAUGUUUUGAUUUGGUUAUAUUUUUAUUAUUCCUUUUUAAAUGUCAUGAAUUCAUCCUCAUUAUUGCAUGGUAUCUUUUUGGUAUUAUUGUUGGGGCGCUUCUACAAAUUUUGCGACAACUCAUAACAAAUAAUCUCUGCAAAGCAUAUUGCAUAUAAAUUUGUGGGAUAAUUAACUUCCAAUUCAAUUUGGUUCCAUAUGGGUCUUGAUUUUUUGAACACUAUACUGUUUCAUAUGUAUAGGAUACUUUCAUUUCAAAUUAAUAUAAAAAAUUGUCAAAACAAAAUUUAUUCAUGUUUGACGUCCUAUCAACGAGUUCAUAUAACAUAGUGUAUAAAUAACAUCAUUGAAUUAAUUAUUAAAUCACCACAAUAAAAACAAGCAUGGAGAACUAUCUAUGACAUGUAAGUAGACAUAACUACAUACUGCUCAUACAUACAAGCUGCUAUAAGGAACUAAUAAAGAACCAGUAAACCAAACUGAACACAAAAAACCAUGUUUCUUUAGAGUACAUAAAUUUUGCGAACAAUGUCUUGGCCAAGCGAUAAGAAGAGGAUUUAGGAGACAUGUAAGCUUGAGUUCGAGUCCAAAUAAAAAAUAGAUGAAAUUUGUCUUACAUGAAUGGCUAAACAUGACUUUAUUUACAAUAUCAAACACGCAAAUGCUAUGAAAUGUAGAGUAAACUAGUUCUUCACUGCAAAGUAAAACUGAAAAAAUAGAGAUCCAACCAGUUGACGGCACCAUAAAACAGAAAGCUCCAACGAUGAUAAGCAUAAUCAAGUAUCAACCACCUAUCAUUGAGGCAAAGAAUGAAUAAGAAUUUAAACAAGAAGCUUGAUUAAGGAAAUCAUAAAUACAUGGACAGAGGCAGAUUCAAGAUUUUUGUUGGGAAGUAAUAUUAUCCAUGAAAAUAGUGUUUAAAAGAAAAUUUUGAAUGUUUAUGGAAAAUUUUCUUUUAAAAUUUCUUAUUUUCUAAUUUUUAACAGUGUCCCAAAAAAGAUAUUGAGGGUAUCCAACACAAAAUUUUUCUUUAAAUUUUUUUUAUUUUCAAUGUACACCCCACAAUGCCAUGUAAAUCCAACACUAGACAUGGAAAAAAGCCAUAUUUACUUGUUUAGCUAACAAGUUUCUCCUUAAAUUUUCACUUAAUAGCGUAACAUUAUCCUUGUUUCUCCCAGAGUCAUAUAUAGAGGUAUUUGAUCUUUCCAACCAGCCCAAAUUAUAUCAUUGCAGGUGGAUUGAUUAUCAACUAUUUCUUCCAUUGCGGUGAAACCUUCUGUUGUAUUAUUCUGAACUUGUUGGGGUUCCUUCACAACAAAAGACAAUUCUCAUUAAGUAAGUUAUGCUAGAAGUAAGUAAUUAAUUAAUUAAUUAUGCAUAUGACUUGUGUAUGUAUAUAAAAGAGUCAUCCAAUUCAUAAUAAUAUGUAGUUAUAUACUAACAUAACUUUUGUUUCCAUCAUCGUUUCAUCAUUAGUAUCAAUAUGAUCAAGAACAACAAAUUAAUUAAUUCAGCAUAAUAGUUAGAAAAAAAAAGUCAGUUAGGGACCUCUGUUACCUCUGUUAUGGCAGGCACAGGAUGUUUUGAAUCCAUGAUGACACUUGUGGUCAACUUGGGAGAUUUGGUUAUUUUAAACGACCACAUAUAAGGGAAUCCGAAAUAACAACCAGUUGGAGCAAAACUCUUUAGGUCUGAUAGCUCAGAAAGAUCCACUAUUUCUAAUCUAGGGAGCACUAUUCCCUUUUGAUCAUCUUCAAUGUCUAGUUCACCUUGAUACCCAAAGACUUGCUCUAGUUUAGAAGGCCCUGUAAUUUUGAUGCUCUUGAGGUUGGCAAAAGAACAGGUGACACUAAUAGGAAACAAGCUUUUCAAAUUGCUGCAACUAGAAAUCCGUAUGUCUUGAAGACUAGGGAAGGAUAUAGUUUGGAGAUGACCCUGUGAUGAUGAUGCUAUUGAGGUUUGGUCCAUUUCAAUGAUUUCUUCUAGCUUCUCACAAUACUCUAUAUUCAAAAUUUUCAAUUGCGGUAAAUUUCGAGUAAGCAGAGAAGAGAAGAGAGAUUUCAGCUUAUUACAAUUUGACACUUUUAAGUCUUUAAGACAAGGAAGGCUUGCAACUUGGAUGGGACUCUGCAACUGAUGUAUACCCUCUAGAUUUAAAAUCUCAAUCCUUAAGAGUAAGUGUCCAUCUUGAAUUUGAAAAAUAUUCUCCCAAUUAAUAGUGUCGCACAAGUUGUCUUGCUCCAACUCAGAACAUCGUAAUUCCUAUAUAAAUAUAAAAAUGUCAUAAUUUCAUUAAAAUUUGAAUAAAUUACAAUGAUCAAAGAAUAUAUGAUUUCAAAAGUACAAAAUCUAAUACAUAUAUAUUACAAGAUACAAAAUUAUCAGAUAAGAUGUGUUGAUAUAUACAUUUAUAUGAAUAAUUUCUCUUUAUAACAUGUAGAAUAAUGUUUAUAUUAUUACAUUAUUUAUCAAAUAACUCUAUUUAAUAAAUUAUUUAAAUUUAAUAUUUUUGAAUAUUUAAUUAAAUUCAAAUCAAAAUCUAUAAAAAAAUUUUGCACAAAUUUUAAAUUCAAAUAUAUUAAAUUAUAAUUUAUUUUUUCUUUUUAAAUUAAUCAUAGUUCCAAAAAUAUAUAUAUUUAUAUGCUUAAUAUAUUUUUAUCUACCAUCAAAUAAUUCUUUUUAAUAAAUUAUCUAAAUUUAAUAUUUUUGAAUAAUUAUUUAAAUUCAAAUCAAACUCUAACAAAGGUUGAAAAUUUUGCAUAAGUUUUGCAUUUAAAUAUAUUAAAUCAUAAUUUAUCUUUUUUUUUUAAAUUUAAUCAUAAUUCCAAAUAUAUAUAUACACUUAAUAAAUUCUUAUUUGAUGAAAUCAGAAUCUAAAAUUGAAAAUAAAGAGUUUAUAAAGUGAGAUCACCUUCUAACCAAUCUUAUUUUAUUUGUUGUUAUUAGAAUUAGAAAUUGAAAAAUACAAGCCUUUUUUUUUUACUUGACAGUUAUGAUUUAUUGGUUUUGAUGGGAACGGACAAAAGUUAGAAAGAAGAGUAAACCACAUCAUACCGUGAACAAGUUCAUUUUUGCCUUUAUUAUUCUCUUUUUUCUUUUAUUUUCUUUUUUAUUUGUAAAAAUAAAUAUGUGAUGGUGUUGGAUUAUUUUUACUUUUGUAUAUUUUUUGCUUAAAUGACAUUGAUUUUUUUUAUCAAAUUUCAAUAAUGGAAAGAAAACAUAGGUACAUUUGGAUUGAUUUCAACUUGAUAAUAGGUAUGGUUCAUUACUAUUUUUCAUAUUUUAUUUUUUUUUAUUUCCUCCAUUUGUUUGUUCCUUCAAACUAUUUAUUUGGUCUUAUUUCUAUUAUAUGAUAUAUACAUUUGAUUUGAUUUAUUCUAAAAAAUUUUUUGAUUUAUAUAUUUUUAUAUAUUUAGUUAAGUUGGAUAUUUGAUACACAUAAGUUUAAGAGAUACUGUAUAUGCAUUCUCAAUUUGUAUAUUUGAUUUUUUUUUAUAAACGUAUCUUUGACUUAUGUUUUAAAAAAAGCAAAUAUAUAUGUUGAAGUAUGUAGAAAAUAAAAACUAAUAAAGAGCAAAUGGCUAUGAACAAAUUAAUAAUUAUAUAUGCUCCAUUGUUCAAUCAAAUUUAUAUAUAUAAAAGAAAUUAUUAUUAUUUGAUGUUUUAUUUUUGGUUCGGGUUUAUAAGAUUUAAGAGUUUAUGAAUGUUCUAUUAAUAUAAAUGUCUUUUACAAUUUAAUAAAAUGAUUUUUUUUUUUAUAUCCAUAUUAACAUUAUCAUAAAAAAUUAUUAAUUUUGACUAUUAAAAGACUAACCCUUGCUUUUUUUAUCAAAAAAAUAAAUAAUUAGUAACAAAAUUUUUCGUGUUUAGCAAAUAAAUAAAAAAACUAAUUUUUUGAUAAAAAAGAAAGGAUUUUUGAAAUUUUGUAAAAAAUUAAACUUAAAACAAAAAUAUGUGAAUGCUAUCAUUUAAUCGUAUCUUAAAAUUUAUGAAUGUAUGAUUAUAUAUAGUUGAUUAAUAAAAUUUUAAAUAUUCUUUUAUUAAGGAAAUAUAAAAAAUUAAAGUUAAUUAAAAAAUAAAUUUAAAUUAUGAAAAUAAUAACGUAAAACAAAUACCAUUCUCAAGAUUUUAUUAUAAUGUACAAAUUAAAUAUAUUUAAUUGAUUUUCAAAUUCUAUUUAUUAUAUAAGCAAGUGAAAUGUUAUCUAAAUGUUCUCUAUGAGUACCAUGUCAUCAAAGUUUGCCUAUAUGUAUGCAUGCCAGCAGUUUGAAUUCCCAUCCAAAUCGGAUUUCAUUAAAUUAAAAUAGUAGGAUAGCUAAAUUACACACAAUAAUAAUGUAAGGGCUUAAGUGAAAUUUUGAUUAUAAUAUGGCUAGAGAGCUUAUUUUAUUAUUUUACCAUUACUUAACAAGGUUUUUUUUUAUUAUUAUUUUUAAAUAACAAACAAGUUUAACUCAGUCUUGAAUGAGUUGAACAUAAAAUAUUGUUAAAGAUGAGAGUUCAACAUAAGUCUUGAAUGAUUUAUUUUAAUUUUUCUAAUAUAAAACUUACAUAAGAACCCCUUUUUGAAAAGAGAAUAAAAACUUUGAUUAUUUUAUGAGUAUAGAAAAGAUUUGGGCCAAAGGUAAAAUCUCAAACCAUAAUGUACGGAAAGGAGUAUAAAAUUACCUUUAGUUGAAGCCGUUUGUGGACUACUUGUUGAAUAAUGAACUUUGCAAAUCGAGGACAAACCACUAUGGUUAACCUCUCCAAUGAUGGUGGCAGAAUGGCAUUAUCAACUCCAUUCUUUUCUUUUGCCACAUUGAAGACAUAUUGUAGUCUUGGACAACUAUGUAUUUCAAGAGAUGUCAAUUUUGGCAAGGGCGGAGGAUGGAGAAAGCCACCGUCUGAUUCUAUAUUAUCAUCAAUUUCCAACUCAGUGGCAAUAUGUUCCAGUUCAUCGCAGUACUCUAUCUUGAGUUGUUCUAGCAUCACCAAGCUUUGAACAAGUGAUGGUGAGAAGAGAUAUUUCAAUUUAUUGCAGCGACUAAUUACUGCAACCUUCAGGCUUUGGAGGCAGACCGAUGGUUGGGCCUUUACAUAUCCACUUAAUUCUGGUAAUAGCUCUAGCUCCAAAACUUGUUAAAUUUGGCAGCAGCGGAACGGUUGAGACAUGGCCUUGGUCUGUUGUAUCAAUCAAGCAUUCCAGCUCUUUAUCAUCUCUAAGUGUAAGAAAAGUUAAUUCAUUUAGUCCCUGUGGAUCUACGCUUGGAAUGAGAUUUUUGUGAUACAUGAUUCCAUCCAUGGCAAGUUUUCUGUCAUCCUGAUAAAUUCACAAUAUAAUGAAAAAUAGCAGCAACAUUAGAAACAUAUAAUUAGAUUUCUUUUAUUAGGAAAGAGAAAGAUUUGAGUUAAAAGAAUAUUUUUAUUCCUCGCUUUUCACUAAAAGUUUGUUACUGCAGAAAUUUAAAUAAUUCAAAUUAAGCUGAAUAUAAUUACUGUUUAGAAAGCAUGGAUAGUGACAAAUAAUACAGGUAUGAUAUGACAUGGAUAUGACAAUUAAACAAUUUUAAAAAUAAAAAAUAUGGGUACGGUAAAACAUGACAAUAAAAUAUAUUUUUAUAUAUUUUUUAUCCCUAAAUUUUUUAUACGAAUAUAAAUUGAACACAAUUAUAAAAUAAUUAAUGGUAUGUGUAAAAGUAAAAUAAAAUAAAUUUAUAAACAAGAUUUAAAUUAUAUAGGAAAAAAUAAUCAAUAUAAUUAUAAUUUUUUUAAUUUAAUUUUUAAUACUAAUAAAUUAUAAAAUUUUAAACUUUUUAAAUAGUUUCAUUUUUCCUUUUUUUCUUUUCUUUUUUUUUCCUUCUUUUUCUUUUUCUUCCUACAUUUUCUUCUUUUUCUUUUCUCUCUUUUUCAUCCCGUUUCUUCUUUUUUUUCUUUCAUUUUCCCCUUUUUCCCUUCCCCAAAUCAUACGAUUUAUAAGCUUUAUAAAUUCAAUAAUAGUAGUUAUUGAAUAAUAUUUUAUUAUGUACAGAAUUAAAAAGAGAAAAAAAUACAAAGAUUUUAUAAAAUGUGUUAAUAGAGAGAAAAAAAUAUGUAGUGCUAGUUUUUCUCAACCUGCAAACCAUGUAAUAAGUAUACAUUUAAUCAACCUUUUUUCUUUUAAACAUCAACAGAAGCUAAUUAUAUAUAAUACUAUAUAAUACUUUUACAUUUAAAUGUGAAUGUACUGAAUUUUGACAUUUGUGUUAUAAGAUAAAUAAUUCAAUAAAUUAUUACCAAAAUAAACAAAAUUAAAACAAAAAUAUAGUAUAAGAGAAGUACCUUUAAAUUGGCCAGCAACGUCUUAAACUCAGUUAAUUGGGGACAACUGCGAACCUCGAACUCCUUCAAAGAUAAUGACAUGACAAAAUUUUCUGGACAAAAAUUUUUCAACUUCUCUAAAUUUUUAAGCCUUAAAAUUUGCAAUCUCUGUAGCACAAUCUCUUGUAGCGGACGCCCACCCUUGUCCUUUGUCAUAUUGAAGACCUGCUUUAGUUGAGAACAAUCAGUUAUCUCAACAGAUUCCAAAUAAAGAAGUCCUUGAGCCAAAGUGAUUGGAAACACAUAAUUCAAUCUUCCACAAUUAAUUAUCUUGAGAGUUCUCAACUUAGGCCAGUGGAAAGGAUAGCCAUCCACGUUUGAAACUAUUUGAUCCUCAUUUUCUGCUUCAUCGAAGAUUAAAUGCUCCAAAGAAUCGCAAUAGCUUAUUUCGAGUACUUCCAGAUGCUCCAAACUUCGAGCAAGGGGAGUCGAAAAGAGAUAUGCCAGUUUCGGACAUUUCCAUAUUCUCAUAGUCUUAAG